rnacentral:lncRNA from 1 species
UACUUUGAAAACACUCUUUUCUCACCAUUCAUCCUGUACAUGCCCAAAUUUAACCGGACCUUAAUAAACAAAGCUCAAAUUACAGAACAAACCAAACCAAAGUCUAAAUAAAAAAGUCCAUUUACAAAAAAUAUCAAACUUAAAACCCAAAAUAAAUAAAGACCUAAUGGCCCAUAUGGCCCACUAUCUUAAGCUAGCAAGAAACCUUAGCUCUCUCGACUGUUGCAGCCACCAUGUACGCCCUCGGCGCGCAUGUCGCCCGAGGGUCGGUUCCCCUGCAACCUUGCACUAAAAUAGCCACCAGCUAUUUCCAUUGACCAAGUCCGUACCUGCAAAAAACCACAAAAGCAGAAACAAGGCAGAGAAACGGCAGCAAGCAACAGUAGGCCAUAAUAGCAGAAACGAAAAUAAACAGUAGCAUACCUGUUGUAUUUGGCUAUAAAGCCACCGAAAAAGAACUAUUGUAAGGGGGAAAAACAAUAUAAAAAAUACAAAAAAAAGAGAUCAAAAUACAAAAACUGAUUCAAAGAAGAUUAAGGUGCUUUUUAUUUCUAUUUUAUUUUUAUUUAUUUUUAUCUUUUAGUUCGAAUAUAAUAGGGGUGAGAUCCGUUACCUUUAGCGCUGUGCUUGGAGCCUUCUCCGGCUUUGGAGGGGACCGAGUCGAGGAACUCGCCAAAAAACCCCAUCGGCAUUGUUAAGGAACUAAAGGGUCCCUUUAUUUUUCUUCCUUUUUUGCUGUUAUUUUUGUGUUUUGGUGGGGGAUUUGGAUUUUUGACCUUAAUUUGGAUGAGAUUAAGGAGGUUAAAUCGGUCAAAAAAGGGCUCCUUUUAGGAACUCUGGCCGCAGUAUACGGUGGCGGUCCGGCGACGGCGAUGAUGGGUUAAGAAACCCUAGCAGAGGAGAAGAAAAAGGGGGUAGGUUUUAAAAUUUUUUUUAAAUGAGUAACAAGAUGAAUUUUUAAGAAAAAAUUAGUUUUUAAUACUUGUUUGAAACGGUGCCGUUUUGAACCAAGGUCUCCAGCGCCAAAACGGCGUCGUUUAGGAUGACCCGUAUGCGACCCGACCCGCGCAAGCCAGGGUCCGCGUGUUUCCAUUAAAUAUGUUAUUUACAACCCUGGUCCCUCUAAGUUCUGUCCGUCUUGAUUUUGUCCUUUUUGUUUAUUUUUGCAUUUUUUAAAAUUUGUCCGUGGGAUUUUUCCUGGUUUUCAAUCGGGUCCUUGACCCAUCGGCGCGCUGGAACGUGGACACGUGUCCAAAUUUUGGGCUUUUUUCCCGUUUAACCAUUAGACUUCUUGCGUUUUUUAAUUUUAGUCAUCACUUGUUUGUUUUAUCAUAGUUUUAUACCUGUAACUUCAUUUUUAUCUCAAUUCAGUCCCAAAUAUGUUUGAUUUCAAUUCAUUUUGCAAAUUUGCUACUUACUUAUUUAUUUUAAAGCCUUUCUUUUCAUAUAUUAUUUCUUUCAAGUUAUUUUAUUAUUAUUAUUUACUUAAAGUCUUUAAUGUAUUAUGUAUUUAACAUCACUUCAAACUAUUAUCCAUCUUAAGUUUAUAUAUAUCACUAUAUUAGUCAUUUUAAACUGUUUUACAUAUUUUUUUAAAAAAUAUUUUUACGUCAUUUAUUUUUAAACUCUUUUUUAUAUAUUAUCUAUUUAAAAUUUUUAUAUGUUAUUUAGUUAUACUAUUUUAUAUGUUAAUCGUUUAAAACUCAUUUUUAUUAUUAUUUACUUUAAACCUUUCAUAUAUUAUUUAUUUUAAAAUAUUUUUAUAUAUUCUCUAUUUUAGAUUAUUUCAUAUGUUAUCUAUACGAAAUUUUCAUGUGUAGUAUUUAAUUUGAACUGUCUAUAUGUUAUUCAUUUUAAAAUUGAUAUAUAUUAUUUAUUUUAAAAGCUCUUUUUAUUAUUUAUUUUAAGUUUUUAUACAUUGUCCAUUUGAAACCCCUUUUUUAUAUGCUUUAUUUAUAAUUGUUUCAUUUGUUAUUUAUUUUAAACUGUUUUAUUCACUUCAAAAUUUGUCAUAUAUUAUUUCGUUUCAUUCUUUUGUGAUUAUUAAUGUUGAUCUCUUAAAAUAGUGUAUUAUGUGAACAUGUCCAUUAUGUGCUCUAGAAAUUAUUUGUUAAUAUAUUGUUGACAUCCAUUGACCUAGCAUUUAAUUCAUGUAUUAUUAUUUUGCGCUCUAUAAUCCCUUUUGUUUCAUUUUGUUUAAAUCAUAUUGCACAUUAACCUCUAAAGUAUUUGUCCGAAUAUGGACCGUUUUAUUCCAAACAAAAUAAAUGCAUAUCGCUAAAUGUUGCAGUAUGUUUAUUCAAAGUAAGGUAAUAUUUCGCGUUUUGGGAAUUCAAGAAAUCGUACCCUAACUUACUGGGUUUCGAUUUUCUUGUUUACCCUAAAUAACCAAAUAUCCCUUCAAAUUUCAAAAUAUAUGGAUUUAAAUAAAAUAAAGGCAAUAUUUCAUGUUUGGAAAUUUCGAGAAAAUUGUGCCCUACGUGCUGGGUUUCGAUUUACCGUUUGACCGAACAACUGAAUAUUCUUUUUAAAAUUUUAAUGCAUGAGUUUUGGAAAUCAUGAGAUGAUUUUGGUAUGGAAGGUUUGAAAUGUUGUGUCCUACGUGAUGGAUGUGAUAUUUUAUUUCUUCGAAACAAGAGAAUCUUAAUAUCCACUUCGAGUAAAAUAGGAUCAUAUUUUUAAAAUUUAUUUUAAAAUCUUUUCAACUUUUGACAUUAAGACGUUAAUUAAUCAAUUAGGUACCAAUUUUGGGCGUUACGAGGGUGCUAACCCUUCCUCGUACGUAACCGACUCUCGAACCCGUUUUCUCAAAUUUCGUAAACCAAAAUCGUUGUUUUAGUAAAUCAAAAUGUUUUAUCAAAAUGACCAAAUUUUUAGGUGAUCCAAUCGCACCUAAACAAAAAAAGAUUAGUGGCGACUCCCAAUUUUCGUUUUCUUUUCAAAAUAUAAAGUCAACCCCAUUUUUCAAAAAAAAUGGUUUCGACACAUCCCACUUUAGUCGAUACCCAAUUUUUUUAGUUAUAAUUUGGCAUAACCGUUAUUUCGUGAACCAAUUUUCUUAACUAUUGGCAGAAGUCAAAUCGAUAUUUUUGUUCCAAAAAACAAGACUGAGUUUUGUCUACAAUCCUUUAUUCAUUUUGCAAUGUAAGAAACUUCAAUGAGGGAUUUGUAAAAGUAUUUUUCCUUUUUGUUUUUUCUUUACAGAGUUUAAAUCACUUUGCUUCUUAUUGUCUCUCUCAGACUUUCUCGCUCGAGAUCAUUACUGUACCAGGUAGGGUUUAAAGAGAAAAAUGGUGAUAAAGAUGGGAUAUACACAAAAAGAGUUAAGACUGAUGUCUCUUCCAGAAGGUAUCCUCUUGGACAUUGUUUUCCCUGACAAGAUGGGAGGAGCUUUAGAAAUAUGGUACUGAGGUUAGAUUCUGAAACCUUUUCAGUUACCAUUUACUGCAUUUUGUGGAACAUUUUGAUUUGUUUUUAAUGGUUAGUUAAGUGAAAUUGUAUAUUUUUGGAGUGGAGACGUAAUAAUCAUUAAAUACUUGUGUUUAUUCGAUAGGCUUUAUGGCCGUCGUCAAAUAUAAAUUUCCUAUGUUGUAAUUGAAUUAAAAAUUAGUAUAGAGUAUUCAAAAAAAAAGUAGUAUAGAGAAAUAGUAUCGAUUCCACAAGGACUAAGACUCCUAACAACGUUUUUAUGUAACCAAAUUCUAAAGUCGUGGCAGUUCUCAUGCUCACGAUUCGUCGCGUGUUGAACUGAAAAUAAUAAAUAAAAAGGGAUUUUAGUUGAUAAAAAAUAUAAAAAUUAGUAGAAUGAAAUGAUAACAGAACGAUAAUUGCAAAAUAGAAUUAAAUAAUUGAAAUUAAAUGUGAAUUAUUAGCUUUAGCCUCGAUACAAUCUGAACUCGAAUCGAUGGUUGAAAACAGAUUUUUUCUUCCAAACAAUAAGCUAGUUAUAGUGAUCAAGGAUGCCUUAACCGCGAACUCUUCGUUGUGUAGUUGGUUUAGAUAUGAUCUGCAAACCAACCCUUACCAGUUAUCUAACCAUGUAACAUGCGUCCACAAUUUAAUAUCUCAGUAGCCUUGCGAUCUAGAAGAGCCCAACUUGAAUUAACGACCUCAACCGCGAGAGUCGUUUAAAUUUGAUCUCUAUCUCCUUUGACGGAAACCAACUAGCUUUUUCCAAUUGGACACAUCAAUUUUUUCGUGGGAACUCGAAUACGGUAGACAAUCAACUCGCUUUCCCUACUCACCAAAACAACUCCCACCCAACGUGUACUUUAAGUUGAAAUUGGAUUAACUUUGAAGGGAGAAUGUGACUAUCCCAUUUCCAGAGAGAUAAUGAUCGUGUUGUAAGGUUUUAGUGCAGAUUCAUUUCUCACGAUUCUCGAUCGGAACGAUGACUGGUCUAAAGCUAAAUGGGGAUUAGUUGAGCAUGAGAUUAAUUAUUAUUUGUUGGAUUAUGAGAAUGGAUUUUAAUGUAAUAGUGAUAGGUGGAAAAGGGAGGAGACUUAAAGAGCAAUUGCACCAAAAUAAGAAAAAAAAAAAGAGGAAAUGGAAGAAUGCUUGACAAGCUACAUAUGUAAGAAAGGAAAAAUUGUUUUGAAUUCAAGUCUCUAGUCUCUCCGUUCCCAACCCACAAUUACAAGGCCAAUUAUACACCUCUCAAAAGCUAAUUUAGCAUGAUUUCCUCCUAAAAUUAUGUUUAACAACCAACAAAAAUCAGAUAUUUUUCUAAUUAUAGAAAAUCAAAAUCUGAUAAUUUUAUCAACCACCAAUUCUGCAACUUUUCAAUUUGGCCCAUUUUAUUGCCUUUUGUUCUAAUUUAGCCUAAUUUGCUUGUUUUUUGAACUUCAACAUUCCAAUUGCAUCCUAAUAAAAUUUAAAUAAGAAAUCACAAGUUUAGUAGCAUUCUAUUCAAAAUUUGACCAAAGUAAGUACACUAAACACAUGAUAUUAAUUUACUAUCAAGCUUUGAUGUAUAUUUAAAAUUUUAUUUAUGUUAAUUGGGUUAUAAAAUAUGGUAAACUAGGAGAAAAUGUUAAUGGAGUUUUGAUCGCUAUCGCGUGUACGCGUAAAAACAAAAAAAUUUAUAAAACAAUUUUAAAAGUGUGAUUUUAACUGCAAGCAGACAACGUCAAUUGCAAUAUUUAUAGUUUCCGAUGGAACACUAGAGUAUUCCAAGGGGUUGAACCCAAAGGAGUUGGUGAUUAAGCAAUUCCUAAACUAUAAACAUGCAAUCAAAGGAGUCUCGCUAACUACUCACCAAGUUCUAUAUUACGACAAGGCAUUUACAAGUUUAAUUACGCUAAUUAAUUACCUAAAAACAAAAAAAAAGACUAAAUUGUAAAUAAAAUAAAAUAUGAAAAUGUAACACCCUAUACCCGACUCGAUCACCAAGUCCAGGUACCAAGUAUAACCUGAAGUAUUUAACAAAAUUUUAAUCUCGGUUCGCUUACAGAAUUAGACAAUACCAACUUAUACAUCCAUUGCUACUACUCAAUCUUACUCAUAUUCAGGAAUAACAUCAAAUUUAUUAUUUUAAGCUCAUAAUAUAUUCCUUAACAUACAAGCACCGAGUUCUUACAGAGAUUCUACCUAAUUGAACAUGAAUAAUUAUGUUCAAAUUUGUCACUCGAGCGUUACUACAGAUACGUUAAAUUAAUCCCCGAGGCGUAGCCUCUAAGGAUGCCCCCUAAAUAUGUUAAAGUUAUGGCACCGUUCACGCGAGGUUGGCGGUGUCUGGCUUGGUCCCUCCAUACGACCAUUGAGUCAACCUUGACCUUGCACACCUGGUAGAACAAUCGUAAGCCCGAAUGAACUUAAAUGAGACUUUGUAUUGCAUAAAUUAAAGAUUCUAAAUUCUCUCGGAGAUAAGAAUAAAAGCAUAAAAUUUAAAAUCCUUGAAUAUCAUGGAGGAUUCCAUAAUUUCAUUGGCAAAAUCGUUUCUUUAUUUCUUCGGAGCUAACCGUUGGCGGAUUUAUCCCCUAAUUUAGACAUAGGUGUGCUAUUCCAAAUAAAAAUUUCUUCUGGAACUUGACCCUAUCCAAAUUCAUCUUAGAUUCCCCUUUCACCAUUCCUAGUUUGAUUCAGUGAAAAUAACCACAUAGGCGAAUAUACAUAUUGACAACUACUAUUGGCAGACUGGCAAGUGUCUUUACCCCAAUGGUGGAUCCUUUCCUUAAUCCCCUUUCUUUUCCAUAUUGAACUUAAUAUAGUUUUACUUUAUUUCCCUGAUGACUAUCUCCUUACGACUCAGCCCGUGCAUAAACCCCUAUUUUAAGGAAGACCCAAUCUAGUAUCCUCAUUGUGGUCUUGAACAUGAGAUUGGUUGUUAAAUAUGAGUCUUUUUUCUUUAUGGACCCAUACCUGUAAAACAGUUCCCUAGGAUUUUCCCACUUCGAAACAUUUGCUAAGACAUUCCUAACAAUCAUAGUUCCCAGCGGACUAUAAACUUCUUAUGAUUUUCCUUGGUGGACUUUUACAUUUGAUAGUCCUAAAUGGACUUCCCUGCGUUAAAUAGUCUUGACAAACAUCCACUUCCUUGUUGAUUUUCUGCAGAUAUUCCACCCAAAAUAGUUCUUAGUGGUAUUCCCUUUUAAAAGAGUCCCUGGCGGACUUUCCACCAUUUUUUGACAACCUCUUUACCCAUGAAUACUUAGAAUUUAAACCUGAAGAACCAUUUUGUUAGCUCUUCGCAAAUGAUGGUUUACACGCCAACUUUGGCAUACCCAUGGCGGAUACUUACUUGCAAAUAUUCUGAAGGAAAUACCCCUUCAUUUCAAAUAUGUCUAUAUUUAAAACACUUUUACCUGUUUUUCUUACCUUCACAUUUUAGUAGAUCCUCUUAAUAUCACGUUUGCUCAUGUUCCCAAUGCGUUAUUGUUCAUCCUGUCAGAUUGUUCCUCACGCGGGUCAUACAGUGAUUUCCCUAUUUUAUGCCUCAACAAGCUUCCUUGUUCAUUGUACUGAGGGACUCCAUCUUUUUCAUACUGUAUACUUGUUUGCCACUAGAUCAUUCUAUAAUUAUCCAUGGACUUUUGAUUCUGAAAAAUCAGUAACCCUUUUCGAAGUGUCACCCCAUGAAACCUGUGUACCGUUUAUAAGGUGUCGCCCUAAAAGACCUAUAUGCCGUUGUCACAGUGUCACCCUGAAGGACCUAUAUAUUGUUUUCACGAUGUCACCUCGAAGGUCCAGUGAAUAACCAUCCAAUAAUGCUGCCAAACUCCUUUGAAUCACCUUUCAGUUCACUCAUUCCUCUAUUAUGAAAGUUUUUCCUAUCUUCAUCUACCUCGUCAAAUUAACUCUCUUCAUACUCUACAUAUAAUGAACAUGCAUUUCAUGCAAGUCAUUGUGCAUAUUAUUAUAAUAUACAAUGUGCUAUGAUAUGCUCGUGAUAAGUUUUAUAUUUAUUAUGAUCGUACUUGAAAACUAACUAUUAUCACGAUAAGGGCAAGCGCACCUAUCGAACAGUAGUAUAGCUUAUAGUAAGACCGAAAUGUCGAACCCACAAGAACUAAAAGUACUAGUAUUAACCUUCUUUUUAUUAUCUAGCCUAAAAAUAAGGGGAUUUGUUUUAUCUAAACUAAUUAACUAAACUAAGAAUGCAUAGAAAGUAAAUUAGGGAAAUACUUUUGGGAAAACUAAUUGAUUUAGACAAUACCCAAGGGAAAAUCCACCUAGUCUUCACUUAUUAUUUGACUCUGAAUUAGACGAGUUAUUCACUUGACUCGAUCCAUAGAAAUCCCUAAGUUAUAUUAUUAUCUCUCUCGAGGCUAACAACGUCUAACCCUAGGUUUAUUAAUUGAAAUCUCUUUCUAAUUAAAACUCCCAGUGUUGUAUUAACUUGAUCUAUGGAUUCCCUUAUUAGGUUUGACCCUAAACCGGUAGAUUUAUGUCGCCCUAUGUCUAGGGGUGCAAUCAACUCCGCUUAAUUAUGCUAGAUCUACUCUUAGACAGGGACUUUUGCUCCUCUAAAUAAGCACAUCAAUACUUGAAUCAAUAUCCUGGAAUAUUAAAGUAAUAAUUAAGAACACAUAAUUAAGAACAAAUCAAGUAUUUAUCUUAUAAUUCAGAAAAUAAUAACAAGAUCCAUUUUAGGUUUUAUUCCCCUUAGGUAUUUAGGGGAUUUAGUUCAUAUUUGUAAAAGAAAACAUCUCUGAAGAAUAAUAAUAACAAAACAUAAAGAAACCCAAAAAUCCCAAUUGAAAUCGAAGGGAGAUCUUCAGUCUUGAAGGAGAAUCCAGCAUCUGAGAUGGAUCAAUCGGCUUUCUUCGAGUAAUUCCUCACCUCUUACUCUGUGUGUCCCCUAAGUGCCUCCUCUAAGGUUUUUAAAUAGGCUUUAGAAUGCUUCCAAACCCUCAAAGGUGCCCUUUUCCGAAUAGAAUUAGACUUGAGCUCGACAGGGACAUGCCCAUGUGCAAGUGCUUCGAACCGUGUUAGAGUCUGUUGAAUAGACACGGGCGUGUGGUCUACCUAUGUAAGGAAGUCCAGGCCGUGUUAGAGUCUACUAAAACUACACGGGCAUGUGUUCUACCUGUGUAAAGAAGUCCAGGCCGUGUCGAUUUCUCACGUUGACCCAUUUUCUCCGUUUUUGGCCCGUUUCUCGCUCUUUUUAUUCUCCUAUGCUCACCUAAGUAUAAAAUAUGAAAUUAAAGGAUUAGGAGGAUCAAAUUCCAUAAAUCUAAUGAUAAUUCAUCCAAAAAUAUGCUAAGUAUGAGAUAAAAAUAUGUAUAAAUUAUGACUUAUCACGCCACUGCUUGAUACACCAUUUCAUAAUCAUUUGAUAACCAGUGAUCCUACUAACAAGCGUACACACACUUUUAUAGUAUUAUGCAUACACAACAUACUCAUUCACCAUAUUCAUACACAACCAUGAAUGCAAACAUACUCAAAGUACAUAUAAAAAUAAAUUAUACAAGCAACACAACAUCAUUAGCCACCCAAAGUUAGAGUAUAAAAAAACUCACCUUGAAUCUUUCAUCCCCGUCAUAUUAGCUUAUCCAAAUGCCAGAGCCUCCUUCAUUUUGAUAGCUAAGCAUGACAGCCAUAUAUCGGUUAAACAGAAGAUAUUCAAAUAUUAAAAACUUAGAACCUAUAAACAAAAACUUUUCAUGAAUCCUUACUCUAUCUUCCUAUAAUCCACAAGUGUAGAGAGACUUGAGAGCUUACCAGCUUAUUGUAUUUUCUACUUUCUAGACUCGAUUUUCACAUAUACUGCCCCAUGUAGAGGUUUCCUUAACUCUCUCUUCUUCGGAGCAACCGAAGAAGAUGAUGUAGAUGAAAAUCAGAUUAUAAGCAGAAUUGAGUAGGAUUCUUUUGUCGAAGUUUCCUUCCUCACACAUAGAUAUAUAUAUACCCCAAAUUGGCAUAGUAUCCACAGCCCAAAAUAACCGUCCAUCACCAAUCAUUUUGUCUCCCACUAAGGAACCAAUUGGUUCCAUCUUAAUUGAACCAUAAUUUGAUUUCAACUAAUUACCAUCCAGCAACCAAAAUUUCUAAGUUUUCCAAUAGAGCCCCUUUCUUUCUUGAUUUCAGAAUUUAAUGGCAAUCAGGUGUGACAAAAACUAACAAAUUUAGACAAAUACAAUAAUAGAAAGUGGUUGGUUAACCUUCAAAUUAAGGAUCUAAAUCACUAUUAAUCCUAAAUUGGUUCAAUUUUACCUCUUGGUCUCAACUUUACCAAUUUUGACGAAAUAGUUCAAUUUAUCUCUUGACCUCACUAAACUAACAUGAGACUAUCAAAUUGAUACCCGAUAAGAUCUCCUCUUAGUCUCACUUAUCUUAAUUUUCCCUUAUGAUUGUCAAUCCUAAGUUUUGAGGUGUAUUUGAUUUAUUUUGAUUUUAGCGAUUUAGUACCUAAGCCCAAAGCAAACAAACAUCCAACAAUCAUAAAAAUUAAGCAUAAAUGUUAAAUGGAAGGAAAAUGAUAAAGGCAAUAAAAAUGACAAUAAAGGAAAUGUAAAAUAGCACUUAAAAAUUGGAUUUUUAAUGGCGAAAUAAAAAGGAACCUGAGUUAUAUUAAUACUAAGGAUGAAACUAAAAAUACAAGAAGUCUCAAGGGAUAAACAAGUAAAUAAAGUCUAGCUAUAGUAAUAACUAACUUAACUAACCACCGCAAUACAAAGAAAAACCAAAUAAAGUAGAAAACUAAACCUUAAGCUAUGGAAAAGAAAAUCUAAACCCUAGAACAUAAAGAGAAAACAAGAAAACUAAGCUAAAGUGUUGUGUCUUGUGUGUAUUCUCUCUCUAGCCAAACUUUGGCCUUUUUUAGUAGGCAUUAAAGAUAUAUUUAUUGACCAAAAUGCCCCUCAGUGUGUGUUUUUGAUUGGUGUUGAAGUUGGUAUAAUAUCGCAAUGCUCUGGUCAGUCUUGAAAUGGGGGGUUCUUAGGAGGUUGGGUAUCGUAAUACCUAUGGCUGGUAUCAUGAUACCACUAUAGAUGGCCUCAAUCAUCUUCAUUCCAACACCGUUAGGGGUAUCACAACUUUCACGCUUUGAUAUUGCGAUGCCUUAUUUUUAGGUAAUUUUUUCGCUCAUGUUCAUGCUAUCGUUGACUCCUUACAACACUUAAUCAACCGUUAGGUUCCCCAUGGCGCAUUUAGACAAUUUGGGUCUCAAAAAUAGCGUAAAACACACUAAUUCACUUAUUAAAGAGAAAGGUAAAAACUAACUAAAAACACAAUAAAAACGUUCAAAUUUCUCCAGAAUAAGCUUGUCAAGUGUAAUGGAAAGCCUAAUUUGACGUAUCAAAUUACAACAGAUCAAGUUUCGAUUUCAACGUUAGGGUUGAAGAAAGGAAAUCCCUAAAACUGUCAUUGAAGUGAAAUCAUGAUGUUGCCUAUUAUUUAUUAAUUAGGUUAUUUAAAUGGUUACAAUUGCAAGGAUAUAAAGGAAACUCUAAACCAUGACAAAGUUAUAAGGGAAGUGAACCUAGGCAACCUAGUAUGUAGUGUGUGGGAAUUGGACGAACCGCCUUGGUUACGCUAUAACAUUAAUCAUUUUUUUCCCCUGGGAACAUCAAAGCAUAGGUGAUGCCGGGGACAUAAAUCUUUUUCAAUGAAAAAGAAGGAAAUGAAUAACUGAAAUAUUUGAGUCGCACAACGACAUUGGAGCCCAUGUCACCAUUGGCUCUAUAUACAUUGGUCAUGGCUUUAAUGAUAAUGUGUGAGGCGAACAAGACUGAAGUAGGAACUUGUAAAGGUGUAUCAAUUAUGCUAAAAAUUAUUGAAAAUGAUCCUAAUAAUAGCAGAAAAAUUAGGUGCAAGAGUUUGUUAAGGGAUAUGUUGACCUUGAACAGUAGUUUGAAAAUUCUCAUGAUCUCUAUAUGCUCCCAUUUUGAUGAUGAAUAUUUGAAUUGGCAUUACUCUCAGUCUGAGUAUGAAGUGAAAGGGGAGGGAGAAUUUGCGAUCACACUUGUUGCAAUUGAGAUUUUAAAGCUUGUUAGUGGGAUGGAAUGAAUAGUAGGUUUUACAUUAAUUGAGACAUAGGUUUAUAUAAUUGGUUCUUUUUAAAGAUACAUAUGACUGUUUUGAUAUUGAUUUGAUGGUUUAGAAAAUAUUUAUGUUUAAUGAUUAAAUUUCAUAUAGGUUUGAAAUAUUUUUAACUAUAUAUAUUUAUAUAUUUUAUUGAAAAGGUUAGCAAACAGGAUUAAAUUGAGAAAGGUUUAAUGAAAAUGGAAACAAAUUGAGUAAUAAGUUUAAAUUGUCUACUUAAAUGAAGACGAAAUUAAUUUUGAUAUACUAAAAUAUGAUGGGCUAGAUGCAAUAUUAUACCAUAAAUUUAUGCAUGGUUCAUGUAUAAAAAUGGAAGACCAAUUAAAAAAAUAUUGAAGUAUUAGAAGUCAGAGAGUGUUAGAAUGACUUUUAUAGGAAGCAGACCAUUAGGUUCCACUUGCCUUAUCUUUAUUGAGUAAAAUGGAAAAGACAAAAACACCUUUGUGAGUUGGGUUUUUUUUUUUCUUAAAGAAAAAAAAUUUGAGAAUCUAAUGAUUUUAAAUGAUAAAAAUUUAUUAUGGUUGAUGCAUGAAAAAGAGAUGAAUGAUAAACAAAAAAAUUCAUUGUUAUUAUCGAUACUAGAUAUUUUAUCAGAUGCGUAUGCAUUUGAAAGUUUUAUUAUUACAACAUAGAAGUAUGUUUAAAACUAAAAAACAAAUAAAAUCAAGAGAAUUUAUAAAUAAUUGUAAUUAAGUUCAAAUUAAUUUUAAGUACUAUUUUGGAAAUUCUUAAACUUUGUCAUUAAUUUAGUUAGUAAUGGUGUUGCAAAGUGUGGUGUUGUAACGCCCCCACACCCGAAACUGUCACCGGAGUCAAGCUUGAGGUGUUACUAAACUUAUCUUACCUUUUAAACAACUCUAAACCGCUUAUUUUAAUUUUCGGAAUAAACUGUUUUUCUGCGUCAUGGUUACUUAAAAAUUCAUUUCUCGAGUUUCAAAACUCGAAAUUAAGAUCCGUAAAUUUUUCAUGAAACUAGACUCAUAUAUCUAUCUACUAAUUUUUUUCUAGAAUUUUUGACUUAGCCAAUUAGUACAGUUUAUUAGUUAAAGUUACCCCUGUUUCAGAAUUCGACUGCACUGGCCUCUACUUACUACGAACCACUUUUCUCUCUGUACAAAAAUCAUAUGACUAUACCGUUUGUUUCUAUUAAAACUAGAUUCAAUAAGGAUUCUAAUAAUAUAAAUUACACCACCUAAUUAUUUUUUUAAAAUUUAUGGUUAAUUUUUAAAUUUGAAACAGGGAAUCUAGAAAUCGCUCUGGCCCUAUUUCACUAAAACUCAGAUAUCUUAUAAAAUACAAAACCUUUACCUGUUUUGCUUAAUCCAUAUGAAAAUAGACACAAUGAGCUUUAAUUUCAUAUAUUAUUCACCAUCAACCCAUGUCUCUACAAUUCCUUGUGAUUUUUCAAAAUCACGUUAUUUCUGAUACUUGAAUCUGUUUUUAAGUUACUUUCACAUUUUUCUUAGUUUUCAUGUGAUAGUUACUACUUAUUCAUACAUACUAUUAAACAUGUACAUCAUCAGGCCUUCUAUUAGUUAAUCACUAGCAAGUAUUUACACAUCAUUCAUUGAUCAUAUCAUAUCAAAAGAAACCAAGUUCCUAUACAUGCCAUACACAAAACGAAACGUCUAACUAUACCAAUGUGAUUUCUUCGAUAGUGUGAUCGGUCUCCGACGUUUCCUUCGAUCCCCGAGUGGCUUGAUAAGAACUAUAAGAAAAAGAAAAUGAAGAGAGUAAACACUAGGCUUAGUAAGCUUACAAGCAAAUAAAUUACAACAUUCAACAUAAUGAAUAAUUAUACAUAAUGUCACCUAGCCUCAAACUUUCUUUACUUCUCAUUUUCUACCUUCUUCUUUACUCAUUUACCUUCUUUCUUACCUGACCUUUCACUAUUCAUAAAUAUAAUCUACCUUCCCUUUUGCUGAUAAUUCACUGUAAUUUAACGUGUACAAUGACCCGUUGAACCACUCAGAAUACUAAGGAUACUAGGGUCGUUCCUGUCUAUCAAUAUCCUGCCAAUGCCAUGUCUUCGACAUGGACUUACAUGAAUUAUUCCUGUCUCCAAUGCCAUAUAUAUAUCUAAUAUGGGCUUACAUGGCUCAUUCUUGUCUCCAACGCCAUAUAUUUGAUUUGGACUUACAUGGCUCAUUUAUGUCCUGUCCUGUCAACCCCAAUAUCCUAACAUUCCUAAGGUUCAAACGGGGAUUCCUGAUGCUUUUUCUCUAUCACUUCGCCUUUAAUUCGACUUUAAAUAUUCUCAAAAAAAUAAGUAUAUAAAUGUUGGAAAUUGACAAUAAUAAUGUAAAUAAAAGAAUAUUGCAUUUAUUUACUGUAAACUUACCUUGAUACAAAAUGUGACUAAACCUUACAAUUUAGUCCUUUACUUUUUCUUUUCCUCGUUCUUCUUUGGAUUCUUGAUAUGGUGCAAAAAAUAUGAAAAACCAGCAUAGGAGACCUGCUACGGCGUUUCUGGCUGAGAAAGAUGAAGAAAUGUCUAGAUUUUUAAUUACAUCAUUUUUUUAACUAUUAACUUUUAUGCUAAUUCCAAUUUUGUCCCUUGUUCACAUUGUUUUAUUGCUUAUUUCAUACCCAAACCGUCCAGCCAUUAACCUUUGGGUCUAAUUGCUCUUUAAAUCCAUCUUUUUAAAUACUUAAGCUAUUUACUCACAAUUUAACAAAUUUUGAGCUAUUUUCAGUUUAGUCCUUUUUAAUUAAUUAGCUAUCCAAACAUUAAAAUUUUCUAACGAAACUUUAAUACUAACUCAAUGACACUCCAUAAAUAUUUAUAAAAAUAUUUAUAGCUCAAUUUUCAAAUUUGAGGUCUCGAUACCUCAUUUUUGACCCUUUUGACCUAAUAAAUUAUUUUAAUUCACUAAUUUCACCAUUUCACAAAUUCUUCUAAAUUCUUACUUGACUCAUAAAUAUUAAGUUACUAUCUUGUUCAAUCUUAUUUGUCCGAUUUAGUGAUCUCAAAUCACCAUUUCUGACACCACUAAAAAUUAGGCCGUUACAUUCUACCUCGAAUUUGUGGUUUUGCAACCACUGUUCCGUUUAGGCCCUAUUUCGGGAUGUUACAGGUGUACUAAUGGUUGACAAGGGUAAUGCAUAGUGCAUCAAAUAUAAAUCUUUUAUGAAAAGUAUUUUGUUGAGAAUGUGCCUUAGACUUGCUUAAUAAUAGGUGCAGACCAAGUCUUUAAGGAUUUUUUAGUUUGUGGCAUGAUUUUAGGAGUAAGUUAGGAUAUGGUUGGAUAUUAGUAGAAUAUAUUUUCUAUUAUGUUUUUAGCUAUAUAAUCUAAACAAUGCAACAUGUUAUUGUGUGCUUUGAAUAUAUUUUUUCUUUCACAUUUUCUUUGUUUCACAUUUUUUUUACUAAAAUACCAACAUUGGCAUCAAAGCUCUUAUCUUAAGGGAUCUGUGACAUAAGUUUUAGACAUGGAAGCUGACACAUUGUCGUUUUCUCAUAUUGUUCCACCAAUUUUUUAUGGUGAUAACUAUCAAGGUUGGGCUGUUAGAAUGAUAGUCUAUCUUGAUACGAUGGAUCUUUGGGAAAAAGUAUAAGAAGACUACGAUAUUCCGUCAUUGCCAGCAAAUCCAAUAAUGAAUCAACUAAAGACUCACAAAGAGAAGAAGACAAGGAAGUCUGCCAAAGAAUGUAUUUUCUCUACUAUUUCAAGCAAAAUAUUUACAAGAAUCAUGAAUUUGGGGUCUGCAAAAGAAAUUUGGGACUACCUUAAGAAAGAAUAGUAAGGCAAUGAAAGAAAAAAAAUAUGCAGGUGCUUAAUUUGAUCAGAGAGUUUGAAAUGCUAAAGAUAAAGGAGACAAAAACCAUUAAAGACUAUUCUGACAAGUUGGAGGGCAUAGUAAACAAGGUAAUAUUGCUAGGUAAGGAUUUUUCUGAUAAUCGAAUAGUGCGAAAAAUUCUUGUCACUUUGCCUGAAAAAUAUGAGUUUAACAUUUAUUCAUUAGAAGAAUCUAAGGAUUUGUUGAGUAUUUCCUUGGCAGAAUUAGUGAAUAAAUCGCAGGCUCCAGAACAAAGUAGAAAGAUGAGACAAGAAACAUCAAUAGAGGGUGAUUUUCAAGCAAAGUUUGAAAAUUCAGGAAGCAAAGACAAGAAAAUUAAAGAUAAGACCAACAAUAAUAACAAUGAGAUAUAUCCACCAUGUCCAUACUAUAAGAAGACAAAUCACUUACCAAAGAAGUGUUGGUGGAGGUCUAAUUUCAAAUGCAGGAAAUGUGGUUGUAUUGGGCGCAUAGAGCGGGUCUGUAAGUCUCAACAACAUGAAGAGCAAAAACAUCUAUUAAGCAACAAUAAGAAGAGUUCCUUUUUAUGGUGACAAGUUUCUCUACAAGUAAUUGCUCUGGUAAUUCCUAGUUGAUAGAUAGGGGCUGCACAAAUCACAUGACCAAUGACCAAACAUUUUUCGAAGAACUUGAUAAAACUAUCAUUUCCAAAAUAAAAGUUGGAAAUGGUGAGGUUAAUUCCAAUUAACGGAAAAAGAAUAGUGACUAUUGAAAGUUUAAUAGGUUUGAAACACAUAACUAAUGUUUUAUAUUUGCCUAACAUUGACCAAAAUCUUCUUAGUGUUGGGCAGUUGAUUGAAAAAGGUUUCAAGGUCAUAUUUGAAGACAAAUGGUGUUUGAUCAAAGACUCAAAAGGCAAAGAUGUAUUUAAAGUAAAAAUGAAAGCAAAAAGCUUUGCUCUAAAUCUAAUGAAGGAGAAGCCAACAACGAAGCUAUUGCUAGAGACUCCUCAGUACUUAGAUGACAAUAUAGAUGAUGUUCUAGUUCGUGGCACAAGCAUUUUAUUUGAAAUUUAUGAAAGGUGCAAUGUUGGUGUUGAGUUAAAAAAGUUGAGAAGAAUGACACAUGGAUUAAAAUAAUGAGAGUAGGGAAACCUGAGGGAUUCCAAGUCAAAGGACAGAAGGAUAAAAUCUACAUGUUAAACAAGGCCUCAUAUGAUCUUAAAUAGACUCCUAAGGCCUGAUACACUAGGAUCGAUGGAUAUCUUCAAAACCUUGGAUUCAUUAAAAGUCCAAGUGAAGCUACAUCAUAUGUGAAGAAAACAAAUGUAUUAACCAAGGCUCUUCCAAAAAAAAAUAGAUUUAAAGUUCUAAGAAACAAAUUAGACCUCUGCAAUUACUAAAUCAAUAAGGAGUGUUGAGAAUGUGCCUUAGACUUGCUAAAGAAUAAGUGUAGGCCAAGUAUUUAGGGAUUUUUUAAAUUUCUGGCAUGAUUGUAACACCCCUCACUCAUAUCCAAUGCCAAGACAGGGUUCAAGGCUUUACCGAACUUAAACAUUUACAACAUGUAAAAAUCGGGCCACAAAAUUUUCGCCAAAAAUUAAAAUAUCUCGAACACAUGCAUAUCGUCCUUUAUAUAGGUUUUCGAAACCUAUAACAUACACUAGGGUGGUUCGGGACUAAACCAAGAACUUUAAAAAUCUUUGAGCAACUUCACUAAUUUUCUUGCUUCGGAGAGUCACACGCCCGUGUGGAUUGGGCUGUGUGGUCACACACGUCCGUGUGACUUGGGACAUACCCGUGUCCUAUGCCCAUGCAGCUUUCUGUCUAUUUGGUCAUGAACAAGUUAGGGUCACACGGCCAAGGCACAUGCCUGUGUGCUUAAGCCGUGCGUCACACACGGCCUAGGCACACGCUGGUGUAUCUAUCCGUGUGGACAAUUUCAAGGCUACUUUCCAAGCCAAUUGUCACUCUUAAUUACCUACAUACACUUAUACAUUUUCAUAGUAAUUGACAUAGCAUAUUUGAGUAAUUAUAUAUCCACAAUUAAGAAACAAGCAUGGCAUUCUCACAACAACACAUAACAUAUUACCAACAAUGCAUGGCAAACAAGCAUAUGCACAUCACCAGUAUCAGACAUAACAUGAAUAGCUAGAUUUAUAAGUUAGAAUCAUUAGCUCACUAAAGACCAAUAUAUUUGGCCAAAUUAUAAUAACACAUGUUAUAAAACUAGGUCCCUAUACAUGCCACUCACUUGAUAAUUCUAGCAUAAGUGUUUAUACUCUCAAGGUGUUGGCUUGAUAGUGUGAUGCUACCUCCGACGAUCUCCAACCCCGAGCUAACCUGACAACACUAAAAGAAAUGGAAAGGAGGGGGUAAGCUUUACACUUAGUAAGCUCGCAUGAAUAUAAUAAGUAAUUUACUAACAUGCUUUCCAUAGUAAAACUAUCCCAAUUGUCCAUUUACACAUGUUCUUGUUAAGUUGUUUUCUUGAGUCAUAGUCACUAAAUUAUUUAUACUUGGAGCUACAGAACUUCAAAUUAAGAUCCAUAAAUUUUACCAAAAACUAGACUUAUAUAUAUUUCCACCAUAAAACUUUCAGAAUUUUUUGUCCAAUCAAUAAGUACAAUUUAUUAUUUAAAGUCUCCCCUAUUUUACUGUUUGACAGCUUCGACCAUUCUUCACUAAAAUUUAAUUAUCUCAUAGUACGAGAUUGGAUAAUGUUUCUGUCUCUUUCUACUGAAAGUAGACUCAUUAAGGAUUUCAUUAAUAUGAAUUUUAACUCAUAAUUAUUUUUUAAAAAUUUCUAGUUAUUUGUCAAAGUUGAGACAGGGGAGUCUAGAAUCACUCCAACUCUGUCUCACAAGAAUUCAAAGAUCUCAUGAUGCAGAAUUCUUUUUGCUUUCAUCAUUUCCUUUAUGUGAAACUAGACUCAUUAAGAUUUAAUUUAAUAUUUUAUUAAUCUUCUAACUCAAUUUCCAAUAUUUUUAGUGGAUUUUCAAAUUCGGACCAAUGCUACUGUCCAAAUCUAUUUUGGUACAAUAUAAUGAUCAUUAUCACUAGCUUGUCAUAGAAAUUAUUCUCAUAAAUAUCACUCAUUCGUUUGCACUCACAAGUCCAUUUCAUUUCACAUGUCAAACAUGUACUCAUGAGUUUCGAUUACGUACCUGUGCUAUCUCUUAGCACAACCACUCAUGAAACAGGACAAUCAUAUGCAUAAUAUUAGUAUCAACUAAGUAUAGAUGAGUUUAUCAUACCAUUUUUCUUUAUAUCACUAUGUAUGUCAUUACCGUUGAAUUAUUAAAAUUUCUGAUGGACCUUUUCUUUUCCAAUUGUACACUCGAGGUGUGCGUUUCUUUCUGAGUGGUACACACAAAGUAUACAUUUCCUUUUCGUAUGGUAUACACAAAGUAUACCUUUCCUUUUCAUAUGGCAUACAUAAAGUAUACAUUUCCUUUUCAAGUGUACACACAAAGUGUACAUAACCUUUUCAUGUGGUAUAAACAAAGUAUACCUAACCUUUUCACAUUUGAUAGCCAAAGCUAUCCCUUUUCACAUUUGAUAGCCAAAGCUAUCCCUUUUCACAUUCGAUAGCCGAAACUAUCCCUUUUCACAUGGUACACACAAGGUGUACAUAGCCUUUUCAAGUAUUACCCUUUCGGGAUACAUUUCCUUUGCAUAAUGAGAUCAAAAGAUUAUCAUUUAGGGACAACCUUUAUUGCAACAUAUGCAAGAUCUCAUGUUCUCGGUAAUCACAAAUUUCUUUUAAAUAUCAUAUUCCAUUAAAUUUCUAUUAACAUCAAAUUCAAUACAGUUAUAACAAAUUAUAUUUCAUGUAUAUCAAUAAUAACAUGAAUAAUAGGCUUAUUAAAUCAUGCGAACUUACCUCGAAUCCAGAAAUGACAAUUUACCAUUCUAGUCUAUAACCUUGUAUUUCCUGAUUUAAGCCCAAAUCUCGAUUUCCUUGAUCUAUAAUAUCACAUUUAGCCUACUAAUUAGUCACACUAUUCAUGUGGGUCUAAAAAUCAUAUUUUUACAAAUUUUCAUUUUGAGCCCUAAAUUUUUUGCAUAUUUGCACUUUUUCCCUAAGGUUCGGAAAUUAAACUUCAUAUUUUCUUAUGUUUUAUAAAAUCCUGAUAAUUUUUCCCUUCCAUGGAAACAUCAAAUUCUCACUCUAACAUGUACUUAUGAACAUUAGGUAUUUUUAUCGAUUAUGUCGUUUUACUCGUUUUCACGUAAAAUCGCUUAGCAAAAGUUGUUUAACACAAUUUCAAACUUCAUAUUCUACAAUUAAACAUCAAAAUACAUGCAUAACAUUCAUGUUUAAAUUUUUAAAAAUAAAUCCUAGCUCAAAAUAAUGGUAGAAAUCAGCAGAUCAUGUUACCGGGAUUUCAAAAAUACAUAGAACAUUAAAAACUGAGCUUGGAAUCACUUACUAUUAAGCUUGGAAGCUUGGCCAAACCCUAAACAUGGCUGCUCUUGGUACAUUCUGCUGUAGCAAGAAGAAAGGGACACAUUUGGGGUUUAAAAUUUGUCUUUUAAUUCAUUUUACCCCUAAAUGACCAAAAUGCCCUUUUUACUAUUCUUUCAAAUUUCACCCAACCAAGGCCAUCUUUGUCCAAAAAGUUAUAUAAUGGUUUAAUUAUCAUUUAAAGACCUCCCAUUUAAAAUUUCAUGACAAUUAGACAUCUCUAACAUGUAAAACUAACUUUUACAUUUUUUACAAUUUAGUCCUUUUUACUAAAUUGAGUGCCCAAACGUCGAAAUUUUCAAACAAAAUUUUCACGAAAUCAUUCCGUGAAAUCGUAGAUCAUAAAAAUAUAAUAAAAAUUAAAUUUUUCUUAUCAAAUUUGUGGUCCCGAAACCACUGUUCCGACUAAGCCCAAAUCGGGAUGUUACAAUGAUUUUGGGAGUAAGUUAGGAUGUGGCUAGAUAUCAACAAAUUAUAUUUUCUAUUAUGUUUUUAGCUAUAUAAUCUGAACAAUGCAACAGGUUAUUGUGUGCUUUCAAUAUAUUUUUUCUUUCACAUUUUCUAUGUUUCAUUUUUUUACUAAAAUACUAACAUAUUUAUUUUGUACAUAGUUUACAUUUGAAAUAAAAUGUAAUUUAUAUAUUUGAACAUGUAUGACAUUCAUUUGUACAAUUAUAAGAAAUCAAGAUACUAUUGAGAUUUAGAGGAGAAUAUUAUGUAAUAUCAACUCUAUUAAAAUGAAAACUGAAUUUAACACCCAAUGCAACAUCUAAUGAGGAAUACCCAUUUUUUAAAAAAGAUGUCAAUAUCUUUUAAGAAGAAAUGAAUUUAGUGAGAAAUUAUUCGGUUAAGUAGAAAUAAGAGAUAUAAAUGAAACAAUUUAAAUUCAAUGUUAAAAGAAAAAACCCUAAUACCUUAACUAAUUACUAAAUAGAUAGUAAUCAAUCAGUUAAAUAGAAAAAUGAAAAAUAAAUCAAACAUCAUAAAUUGGUUGUUAAAACAAAAUUACAAAUACCUUAACUAAUCACUAAACAAAUAGUAAUCAGUCAAUUUAGGAUUAAUAUGUUGUAGAUUUAUAUAUUCGAAACAGAGAAAGUUAUCCAUAAAGAAACUAGAUAAAUAAUUUGGGUUUGAAUGUAAGUAGGGCUCCAACUGGAUAAAUCCAGUUCUAAUUCACAUCGUCCUAGGUAAAAACAAUUGGUACAGUGACUAAUAAGAUAGGAUGAAGUCAGUUGGAUUUCGGCGUCAAACAAGCAUAGCAACCACUAUUUAUUAUUAAUAUGACUUGUUAAGGGUUUCUAAAGAUAUUUUUGGAUGAGGGGUUCAAAAUGGUUGUUCAUUGUUUAUAUAAAAGUGGUAAAUUUCAAAAUUUAUUUAAAAGAAAAUUGAAACUUUGGUGCAAUUCGUACCUAAACCCAAAAAGGGAGGGUAGACAUUAAAAUUGGAAAACCACUAAAAAGAUGAUAAACACUAAAAAGAAUAACAUCAAGGUAUUAAGCACUAUGAAUAUGAAUUAGGUAGUAUUAUAAGUAUUCAGCAAACAAAAGCAUAUGAUAUAACCAAUUAGCUAGAAGAAUGUAAUUGUGAGUUUAACAAUUAAUUUUAAAGAUGCAACAUUAAAGUUUGUUAAAACAAUACAAGUAAUGGUAAUUUAGAAUUAAGGUGGAUAUAAUUUUGAUUGCUUUAGAACCCUCUUGAUGUAUUCUUUAAGGUCCUGCAAAAUACCUGAAGGAAGUUGUAGAUAGAAGAACAAGAAUGUUGGCAAAUAUAUUUAGGGGUUUUUAAAACGAAAUUAAAUAAAAUUAAGUUAAUUUAAAGUAUUGCAAUAAAACUUUGGGAUUUAACAUUGAAAAUUAUUACAUGAGAUGGAGUAGUAAUGAAACAUUAAGGGAAUAUUUUUGUAUUGAUGAAGAAGGAAUAUUUUUAUAUUCCCCCUACUCCAUUAGAAACAUGUAAAAUUACAAAGACUUACCAAGUUUCUCAGCACAUGAAGGGUUUACAAACAGAUUGGGGUAUGAAACUUCUAUCGUCUACUCAUUUUUUUGAAGAAUUAUGGUGACAGUAAUGACAUGUGUCCAAUCCUAGUUAGUGAAACAAAUAAAGACGAAGAAAAUGGAAAAAAAAACUCGGGUGUGUUAAAUAAUUUUUAAAAAAUUAUUAAAUAGGAGACGUACAUCGCCAAACGAGAGGAUUGGUAUGCAAACUUUACCAUUGGUGAAGACAUUUGAGUGUAAGAAACCAACUAGAAAAUGGGCCACUAGAGGAUGCAUCCGAUAAUUUUCUAGAAAUUCCAAUGUCAUAGAGAAAGAAUCACAUUGCCAAUAUGUCUGAAAACAAAAAAAAAAUCAUAAAGUUAAAAAGUGUGUAAAAAAGUUACAUUUCAGUAUUUCAUGUCACACUCGAUUUCCUUUAACUCUCGAAAUUUAGAACAAUCGCGGGUUAAAUUGAAAGGAGCCAUAAGUUGACGACCUCUAUUGGAAAAUCAGAAAAAUUAGUAACUGAAAUUGGACAGGGUUGAUGUCUAAGUUUGGUUUGAUUAGAUUAAAACCAGUCGAUCUCUUAGUGGGAGACACAAUGAUUGUCAAUUGGUGGAUUUUACACGCUUGAAGACCAUGAGAGAAGGGCUAUAAAUAGUUGAAAUGUGACUUCUAAGAGGGGAUUUGUUUCAAUUUUGUUUCAUUUUCUUCUCUUCAUUCAUCUUCUUCAUUACUUUGAAGACGGGAAGAUUACGAGAAGCUUUGCAUGGAGUAGAAAUUUGAGGGUUUGAAUUGAAAAAGUAAAGAAUCUAGUAAACUAUUAAGGUUCUCAGUCCCUUUAUAACAGUUAGAUUAAGAAAACGAAGUUAAGGAUUUCCAAGAAGACCUUUUAAGAGGGGUUUUGCAUGAUUUUGGAAAAUCGAGUUUUAAGUUGUAUGUACUGAGUUUAACUAAGAUUUUGGAUAUGCUUAGUUGCUAGAAGAGUGGAAGCUCUCACGUUCGGAAAAACUAAACGAAGGAAGAGGCAAAGAAGUGUCAGAUGAGUUUCUACACUUCUACCCUAGAAAGGGCUAAGUAUGUUUACUAUCAUAUAGACAUCUGAGUAUCCGCCAUUUUAUUUUAGUGUGCAUGAAUUAACUAUGGUUUCAAGAUGUUUCAUCUGUGAAAUGCAUAUAUUGCAUGUUUAUAAUAAUGGAAUAUGUAAGGGAAUCAUCAUUGGGUUAGACGAAGUUAGAAUUGGGAACAAAGGGUGGACCUGUGAUGUGCGAACCUUCAAACCUUGCAUAUGAGACAUUGCAGUGUUCGAGCAUCAACAUUAGAAGGAUGAAAGAAGGAAUGGGUGGAGGAAAGAGGAAAAGGAAAAUUGGAAUUCCGUUUUGAUUCUGUCAUCCGGGAUUGCUGGGAGCAAACCAUGAUGUGCGAAGCUGCAGGCUUUGUCGGGGGGACACUUCGGUGUUUGAGCAUCAAGGUGGAGAUAUGAUAAGACGAUAUUUACGAUCAUUAGGUUCUAUAGAGCAACACCGUGGUGGUGGUUAGUAGUCUCUCUGGGGCGACACCGCGGAAAUGAUAAGGUCCUUCGGGACUACACCUCAAAAGAGGUGAAACAUGUAAGACCAUAGCUAAGCUAUGACAAUGAGUGUAGUCCACCAAGACAAUAAACACGGGAUAGUCUAUUGGAAUAGUAAACACAUGGUAGUUCUUGGAAAUAAUAAACACGGGGAUUACGAUAUGUAAGAUAAUAACUCCUUUAUGACAACCAAUAGAGUCCUCUAGGACAUUAAACAUGAGAUUUAGCGAGUAAGAUCAUAGCUCAACUACAACAUUUUAUAGAGUUUGCUGAGACACUAAAUACGGGGUAGUUCGUUGGGACAAUAAACGCGGGUGGUCAAUCAGGACAGUCAUCGUAAGUAGCGUUGCAAAUAAGGAAAAAUUUGUAAAAGGAAAGUAGAAGUAUGAGGCAAAAUAGUUCAACAGCAAGUUGAAGGAAUCCGCCAACGAAUGGGAAAUAUAAUGUAAUGCGCUGAAAUUUAUAUUUUUGGUUCUGUUUAAAUUUGACACAAGUGUGUGUCUGUUUUGGUGGUUAAAUGUUCUGGGUAUGUGUGAGAGGUCCCAAGUUUAAGCUUUAGCUUGGGCAAAUUUUUGCUUUUAAAUGAAUAAAUCCCUAUCUCUAGUUAGUAAAUAUAUCAGAAUGGGCUUGCUGGUCUAGUGGUUGAGUGGAGUGUUAAGUACCUGAAGGGCGUCGAAACCACCAAAUAUAAUUCCUACAAAAUAACUCUAAUUAGUAGUAAGAGUGGUAGUAGGGUCGAGUCCACAAGGAUUGGAUGCGAUAAUCGACUUCCGUGUAUAACUUAUGAUCAGAUUGUCUGUCGUGUCGAAGGUCGAGGUAAUAGUCGUGCCCACGACUCAAAUUGUACCUGCGAAAAUUAGAAAUAAAAGUAAAUCGGGGAUUUUUGAAAUGUUUAGAAACUAGAUAAUUGAAACAGUAUAAACAAUUAAUUAAAUAAAUCAAAAAUUGAAUUGGGAUUUGCAAUCAAAUGUAAUGAGCCUUAGCCUUAGACUCGGUCAAUUCCGUGUUAAAAAUUGAUCCUCGAAAAUUAAUCUUCUUCUCUGAUCGAUAAGCUGGUUAUAGGAGUUAAGAACGUCCUAACCACCAAUUCUUCCUCUAGUAACUGGUUCCGGUACGACCUACAAACCAACCUUUAUCGAUUAUCUAACCGAGAUACACGUGUUCCCGAUUCAAGAUUCCAGCAGCCUUGCGUUCUGAAGAAUCCAACUAGAAUUACUGGCCUCAAUCGUGUGGGUCGUUUAAACCCGAUCACCUCUUCCUUGAUUUGUUCUUGAAAAUCCGAAUACAGCACAGCCGACUCAAAUCUCCAACUGUAAGCAAACACAACUCCAACUCAACGUACACUUUGACUUGAAAUUGAAUUCAACUUUAAGGGAUGAUUGGACUAUCCCGAUACUUAGGAAAAAGGUGAAUACCGAUUGGAAGGAUUUUAGGCGCGAGUACGAAUCUCCCAGUUCUCAACCGAAAAGAACACCGGCCUAAAGCUAAGAUGAAAUUUAGUGGAGCAUGAAUUUAUUCAUGCUUGAACGUGGAAGAUGAUAAAUUUAUGUGAAAGGUGAUGGAAAUUGGAGAGGAAAAGUACUUGGAAGGCAAUUAGCCCACUUUGAAAAAAGAAACAAAACCAAAUGAAAAAGUGGCAGAAUGCUUAACUCCAAUUUUAAAAGGGAAAAUGAGGGUAUUUCUAUUCCAAAUAGAGGUAGGAAUACCAAUUAAAUGAUGAUUUUCUAAGAACUAAAAGCCCCUAUUUAUAUACAUGGGAUUUACUAAAAAUAGCUUAAUUCUAAAUUAAUAAAAAAAUAAAAAUAAAUAAUAAAACUAAAUAAAAUAAAAUAAAAUCUUCUAUUUUUAGCUUUUUACAAAGUCAAAAUUGAUGUUAAAUCCUUGGCUUUCCCAUUUUUAUGAUUUUGCCCCAACUCAACAAUUUGUCUUUCAAUUUGGCCCCUUUUUGCUCUUUUUUGACCAAUUGCAUCCCUGACAAGAUUAAAUCAUAAAAACACCAAUUAAGCAGGGAUUAAUUCAGAAAUAAGCCAAAUUAAACACAAGAAUCAUGUAAAUUAAUAUGUUUAUCAACUCCCCCCUACUUAGCUCAUGCUUACCCUCAAGCAUGUUUGUUCUUUCAAACAUUAAAUUUGUUCUACAAUUUAUUAAAAAUCGAGCCUCUUUUCGCAUACAUAAUCAAUGUAAACAACUUAGACAAAAAUAAAUAAAUGCUCAAGAUAUAAAGUUUGAUCAACAACUGUCAUAAGGUUGAAAUAUGUGAACUAAAUAAUUUCAUUAAAUUGAGUUUGAAUCAAUAAUUUGCAAGGCAUUUAUUAAUGAACUACUCAUUAGAAAAAUUAAAUUAUUGACAUGGUCAAACCUUUUUACGCGAACUAGGAUGACAACCCAAGCACCCUAGCCCGGUUACUCAGUUCAAACAGUCUUAAAAUUUUAUUUAUUUAUUUUUUUGUGUGAGUGAAGGCUAAGUUAGCGGAAUGUUUAUAAGCUACCGACUUGUCACUCGGACUUUUUUACGUGAGAUAAGAUGACAACCUAAUCACCUUACCCCAUUUACUCAAUCCGGUCUUUCGAAACUUUCAUUAAAUUGAGUUUGAAUCAAUAAUUUGCAAGGCAUUUAUUAAUGAACUACUCAUUAGAAAAAUUAAAUUAUUGACAUGGUCAAACCUUUUUACGCGAACUAGGAUGACAACCCAAGCACCCUAGCCCGGUUACUCAGUUCAAACAGUCUUAAAAUUUUAUUUAUUUUUUUUUGUGAGUGAAGGCUAAGUUAACGGAAUGUUUAUAAGCUACCGACUUGUCACUCGGACUUUUUUACGUGAGAUAAGAUGACAACCCAAGCACCUUACCCUAUUUUCUCAAUCCGGUCUUUCGAAACUUCAUUCAUAACUUGAACCUUUAUUAAUUUACUUAUUUAUUCAUGCACAAGCAAAUUUAUUUUCCAAACAAUCAAUUUAUACGAAAAAUCUAGCUACAUAUAUCAACUUUAAAACACAAAUAUCGACAAAUCUAUAUACUUGAACAUUUUAAUUUAAAAUUUGCCCAAUUUUCCAAAUUAACUAAGUAUGAGAUUAAAGGCUCAAUGUUUAAAUAAACAGUCGAAUGAAAUUAAUGUAAGAUUGAACACAUGAAAAAGAGUGACAUGCAACAAAAAUCAUGCAUAUUUACCAUCCAUCCCCCUUACUUAAUCAAUGCUUGUCCUCAAGCAUAUAUUAAAUGAAAUAAAAGUCAGCAACCCAAAAUAAAAAGAAAAAGUUAAGAACACUCCCCAUAUAUGUUAAUGACGUGGUUGAUGUUGGGAGUAACGAUUCUGCAGGACAUCGAGGAUUGUGGAGACUUGGGUUUCCAUUGUUCUAAGUCGAGCCUUGAUUUGGCUUAAACUGGCCUCUACAGUCAAAGGUUGUUCCUCUUGUUCUCGAGUAGCAAAAUGUGGGCGUUGAAGAAAAACCAUAUUCCCCCCGAGUAGUCUGUGCACCUGGAGGAACAAAAAAACACGCAGUAGGGGUGCCGACAAGAAAACCCAUAGAAUCCAAACAAUAUUUAUCUAGGCUGUCCAUAUGUUACGCACAUUUCAAGGACGAGAAAUUGAUUUCAGAGGGAAAGAGUGUAGAGGUUCAGUUCGUAAUAUAUGACCCAAGUAUGAGAGGACGAUUACAUCGCAAAAUAGCGUGAAAAUUUCUUGCAAACCAAUAUCCUAAAUUAACUUUAUAACCGGAAUGCAUACACCACAAGAAAAAAUUAUUCAGUUCUCGUUAAAACAGAGGAUGAAUUGUUUCGUCCCGAAAAACUAAAUGCCAAGAAUCAAUGAAUAUAUCUUAAAGCAGGUUCAUGCACCAAUAAGUCUUUUAUGGUUUCCGAAUUAUAAAGUUGAUUAGAAUUGGUUAAAACACGAUAAGCAUCUUGAGCAUUAAAGUCGCUUGGAAUGUCUAACAGAGUAGUAUGAUAGGAAUCGGACUGAAUAUUGUCAGGGUCAAUAAAACCCAUGGAAAUAUUAAAAUCAGAUAUUGACAUUCGAAAGUCAUUUCCAAGCCAACGGAAACAGACAAUGCUUUGUGUUUCAACUGUCUGUAAUGCAUUAAUAUUGAAGCUAAAUGUGGUGUAAAACUCAUAGAUCAACUCAUAAUAUGCAUGACAAGAAAUAUUUGCAAAUGAGCUCCAACCAAUAGCAUCAAAAUAAUUAAUCACAGCAUCAUGAAUAUCUAACAUAUCAAGAGUGGUGGAAUCAAUUUGCUUACAGACCGAGAUUGGACAUUGUCAAAUGUCGUCGUAUCGUGUGCGAUGCUCUGGGGCCAAAAAAUCCAAAAAACCUCACAAUUGUCCUUCGGUAGGAAUGGCGUUGGCACGACCUUGUCUAUUACGCUGACCAUUUCGUAUUGGUCGAACGUAUUCGUUGGGCGAGUUGGGUGGACUUAAAUUUGCAGCAGCAUCAAUACUGCUGCUCGAUGGUGUCGGUGGCUCACGUGUCGAUUGUCGAUGGUUUCGAGCAGACCGUGUUUGGCGUGGACUGACACGUUCAUUCGUGGUCGAAAGAGCCUUGACAUCGUUGUUAGAGGUUCGAGCCUCGUCUGAAUUACUUGCAUUAUAUGUUAAUAAAGGCAAAGUAGGUGGAGGAUCAGUAAUCGACCUUUCGGGAGGAACGGGGUUACUGUCCGAGUGUUCUGUAUCGACUGGAGUCGGGCUUCAUCGGUGACGAGUUUUUAUUGGUGGGGCCGUUCAUCUAAGAGGAGGUUCGAACCGAUGUCGAUUUUGAUUAAGUGAAACUAGAAUAUUAUUUGCCGCUUGGUUUCAGGUUCGAACCAUUAUGUUCGUGUAGAUGACACGAAAAGUCAGCUCUGGUGACGAUCGCGUACGGCGAUGGUGGCAACAUACGGCGGUGGUCGACGACGACUAGGUUGGGCUGAUUUUUGAAAGUUGACAAUGAGGGUGACGGUUUUAGUGUCGGUUAAGGUGUUGGGUGAGGGUUUGGGUGUUUCAAAGGAAAAGAAGAAAAAGAAAGGAAAAAUAGGGUUGGGGAGAAAAUGAGCGGUGGCGCACGGUGGUGAGGGUUCCGUUCGACUACGAUGGCGCGACGUAGGUGUGAGGUUACUGUUCGGCCAUGGUUCAUCGGUGGUGGAAGGAUCGAACGGUGUGGGGGGAGAGGGAAAAUGAAAAGAAAAUAAAAAUAGAGGUGGGGCGUGGGUGCAGGGCCGACUUUGGGUUGCGAUAGCGGUGAUCGGCGAUAGGGGGUGUGACAGUGGCGGUGACGUGGCUUGCUUGGGUUAGGGUUUCUGUUUGAAGUUUGAAGAAGAUGAAGAUGAAGGGGAAAUAGAUUUUGGGGGGUUUAAUUUCCUUUUUCUUUUUCUCUCUUUUUUUUUCUUUUUUUUCCUUUGAGUCACCUGGCCGUUCGGCCCAUUUCUUCAUUUUCUCUCUUCGGCUAGUGUUAAGUGUUGGAUUGUGGUAUUAGAUAUUUGGUAUUUUAUGUGGUUUGGUAGGUACGUGGGUAUGGGGUAAGUGGGUUAGUUAUGGGUAAUUUAGUUUGUUUAGGUAGGUAAGUUAAUUGGGUUAGGUUAAGGAAAUUAGGUGGAUAGAUGGGUAGUUUGGCAUUUGGGUUUGGGUUAAGUGGGUUAAGUGAGGUCGAUUUUAUUGGAUUUUGGGUUUUGGGUAUUUUGGUAUGUGGGUAAAUGGGUUUGGGUAGGAAUUUAGUGGAUUUUGGUUUUUUGGGAUUUCAUGAAGGUUAGGAAAUUUGGGUUUUUUUUUCACUGUCACCAAAUUAGCAAGUCGUGCCAACGCCAUCAUCAUUAUCCAAGCAAAUUCGCAUCCUCCCUUACGUUCCUGAAAAUGUCAAAAUGAACUAAAAUAAAAAUUUAUUUAUUUACACCCUAAAUUCUACUUAAACUAAAAAUUAAAUAAAUAAGAUUAAAUGCAAAUGAAUUUGGGUUGCCUCCCAAAAAGCACUUUUUUAACGUCGUUAGCUCGACGACCUGGAAAUUUAUUUAGCCGGCUCUUCGAGGACUAAUUCCUCAACCAAGUGGACUUAAAAGUUUUCGUAAUAAUGCUUUAAUCGCUGCUCGUUGACUUUGAAAAUUUUUCUGGAUUCUUCACUUUUAACCUCGACUGCGCCAUGUGGAAAUACGUGAGUAACAAUAAAAGGCCCUAACCACUUAGUCCUAAGCUUACCUACAAAAAUUCUCAAUGUAGGGUCAUAAAGUAAUACUUUCUGUCCUACCAUAAAUUGUUUGUGGUUUAUCAUUUGGUCAUGGUACGCCUUUACCUUAUCUUUGUAAAUUUGGGCACUCUCAUAUGCUUCUCGUCAAAUUUCCUCAAGUUCCUGAAUAUGUAAUUUACGAUGCUUACCUGCAGCUUCCAACUCCAUGUUGCACUGCUUGACUGCCCAAAAUGCCUUAUGUUCUAGCUUAACAGGGAGAUGGCACGGUUUACCAAAAAUUAGUAGAUAAUGAGACAUACCUAUGGGUCCUUUAUAAGCUGUUCGGUAGCCCACAAUGCAACAUUGAGUCGCAAACUCCAGUCUUUCCUACUUGGCUUAACGCUCUUCUCCAAAAUCAACUUGAUUUCUCGAUUCGACACUUCAGCCUGGUCAUUCGAUUGCGGGUGGUAAGCUAUAGCAACUCGUUACACCACUCCGUAUUUUUCAAAGCGUAUCAAUUAUUUUAUUGCAAAAAUGCGUCCCUCGAUCGCUGAUCAAGGCUCGCAGUGUGCCAAACCUUGAAAAAAUAUAACGUUUUAGAAAACGGACUACUAUUUUGGCAUCAGCACGGCGAGUGGCUUUUGCUUCCACCCACUUUGACACAUAGUCAACAGGAAGUAAAAUAUAAACGUUACCGAAUGAUGAGACAAAAGGGCCCAUAAAAUCAAUGCCCCAUAUAUCGAAAAUUUCACAAACAUGUACAGGGUUUAGAGGCAUUUCAAUUUUUUGGCUCAAGUUUCCUACCCUUUGACAUUUUUCGUAAGUUUUACAAAAUAGAUAUGUGUCACGAAAAAAUAUUUGGCCAAUAUAGUCCACAUUCAAGUACUUUAUGCGCGGUUCGUUUGGGGCCAAAAUGCGCACCACGUGUAUAAGAAUGACAAAAGGAUAGAAUUGAUUUUACCUCAGUUUCAGGAAUCCAUCGACGAAUUACCUGGUCGAAACAGUACUUCCAAAGAUAGGGGUCGUUCCAAAUAUAGUAUUGAGUCUCACGUUUGAUUUUAUCUUUUUUAGACCGCAAAAAGUUAGGAGAGAUCAUACAUGUAGCAAGAUAAUUCACCAUGUCUGCAUACCAAGGAAAAAUCGUCUGGGCAGCAAGCAAGUUUUCUCCCGAAAAAUCAUUUUUAAGUGGUGUUACAUCCUUUGAUGGAGGAAUUGAACUCAGAUGGUCAGCCACCAAAUUUUUACGUCCCUUUUUAUCUUUUAUUUCGAGAUCAGAUUCUUACAGAAGUAGUAUCCACCUUAUAAGUUUCAGUUUUGCUUCCUUCUUCCCAAUUAGAUAUUUAAGGGCUACAUGAUCAGAACAAACCAUAAUCUUAGUUCCUAAUAAAUAUGAACGAAAUUUUUCUAAGGCAAAGACUAUAGCUAGAAACUCUUUUUCAGUGGUUGAAUAAUUGAUUUGGGCGGCGUCCAAAGUUUUAGAGGCAUAGGAGAUGACGUGUGGCUCUUUCUCGAUCCUUUGUCUAAUGAAUGCUCCUACGCUAUGGUCGCUAGCAUCACACAUUAUCUCAAAAGGAUAACUCUGAUUCGGUGGUUGAACAAUGGGUGCCGAAACAAGCUUCUGUUUGAACAUGUCAAAUGCUUCUUUGCAUGAUUGGUCAAACUCUAAUUCUUUAUCCUUCUGUAGUAGGUUGCAGAGAGGUUGAGUAAUUUUCGAAAAGUCCUUAAUGAACCACCUGUAGAAACUUACAUGUCCAAGGAAAGAUUGAAUCUCUCUCACAGUUGUGGGGUAUGGUAGUGAGUUAAUGAUGUCGAUUUUUACUUUAUCGAUAGAAAUUCCCUCAGCAGAAAUAAUAUGACCUAGAACUAAUCCCUUGUCUACCAUAAAAUGUCAUUUUUCAUAAUUUAGAACAAGAUUAAAUUCUAAGCACCUUUUCAAGAUUUUUGCAGGAUUAGUCAAACAUACCUCGAAGGACUCACCAUAUACAGUAAAUUCGUCCAUGAACACCUCGAUAAUUUUCUCAACGUAGCCCGAAAAUAUGCUUACCAUGCACCUCUGAAAAGUGGCUAGUGCGUUACAGAGUCCAAAUGGCAUCCAUCUGUAAGCGAAUGUGCCAAAGGAGCACGUAAACGUCUUCUUCUCCUGAUCUUCCGGUGCCACUAGAAUCUAGAAAAACCCUGAGUAACCAUCAAGACAACAAUAGUGAGACUUUCCAGCUAAACGUUCUAACAUCUGGUCAAUAAAAGGAAGUGGAAAGUGAUCUUUCCGAGUUAAGGAAUUCAACUUCCUGUAAUCGAUGCAGACUCUCCACCCGUUUUGAACCCGAGUGGGAACCUGUCGAAUUUUCAAUUACAGUUACACCGGUCUUUUUUGGUACUAUGUGGACUGGGCUAACCCAAUUACUAUCAGAUAUGGGAUAGAUCAUCCCGGCGUCAAGUAGCUUUUGGACCUCUUUUCUCACUACUUCCAUCAUAGGCGGGUUGAGACGCCUUUGAGCCUUCCUUUUGGGAAUAGCAUUAUUGACAACCUGAAUUGUGUGUAUGCAAGUUGAUGGGCUCAAUCCCUUGAUGUCGACUAUCGCCCAUCCAAUUACCUUUUUAUAGUCCCUAAGAACUCGCACCAAGUCUUCCUCUUCUACCCUCAAGAGUUUACUCGAGAUUAUCACUAGUAGUGUAUUCCCUUCACUGAGAAAAGCGUACUUCAAGUGGUCUGGAAGUGGUUUGAGUUCCAACUCUGGAGCCUGUAAGAUAGAUGGUACGAGCUUAGUCUAUGAUAGGGUUAAUUCAAGAAAUUUACCUGGGUUCCUCCAUUAUUUUGCUGCCUCCACAUGAGCCACCGUUUUGUGAACAGAAUCUUAAAAGUUUCUCCAUUCCUCUAGUUCCUUAAUGGUAUCAAAGUUCAAACUUCUACAUAAAAUGGUUCGUAAUUCAUCCUCGUCAUGAUAUUCUAAAUAUAAUUCAGUUAAGGGGUCAAUUAUAUUAAUGUUAGAAACGUUAGAAAUCAUGCUAGAAUGGUUCAUGGCCUCGUAGACAUUGAAUUUUACCACCUCUCCAUCAAACUCCAUAGUGAUUAUCCCACUUCGUACAUUAAUCUUUGUUUGAGCGGUACUCAAAAAUGGUCUCCCGAGAAGUAUGUCAGAUGAAUUGGCCGAAUUGUCAUCCUCCAUGUUGAUAAUGUAAAAGUCUGCAGGAAAUAUUAGCUCGUUUACCUUGAAAAGAACGUCCUCUAAUACUCCCUCCGGAUACACCACAGAUCUAUCUGCAAGUUGGAUUAUCACACUUGUUUCCUUUAAAGGACCCGCGUUAAGUAGUUUAUAAAUUGACAAAGGCAUAACAUUAAUUGAUGCGCCUAAGUCACACAUUCUUUUUUUAAUACCAACGCUACCUAUUUUACAAGAAAUGAAAAACAUACCUUGGUCCUUACAUUUGGGCAGUAUUUUUUGUUGUAGAACGGCGGAUACAUUUUCUCCGACACUUACCUUUUCAUUUCCUAAAAGUUUCCUUUUACUCGUGCAUAACUCUUUUAGGAAUUUUGCGUAUCGUGGAAUCUGCUUAAGUGCAUCGAGAAGAGGUAUGUUGAUUUCUACCUUUCAGAAAGUGUCGAGGAUCUCCUUCUCAUCUCGCUCCUUCCUGCAUUGAACAAGUCUCCUGGGAAAUGGAGGUGGUACUGCAAACGAAUUUUGUGGUGCCGACUUUACUGGAGCCUCUGUGUCAUGAUUCUUCUCAUCUCGACCAGUGCCGUGGGCGCAACUAGUGUCAUGGCCGCGACUUGUGUCAGGUACGGGCUCCAAAAUCUUCCCACUACUUAGUGUCAGAGCGCUUGCAUUGUGUCGAGGAUUCGGCUCAGUCUGGGAUGGCAGCUUCCAUUGGGACUCCAAACGGCUAACCGUGAGUACGAGUUUGCUCACUUGCUUGUCCAAUUCCUGAAAAUGCAUGUAAGUUUUUUGUUGGAAUUUCUUAGUACUGUUGGCUAACCUUUCCACUAUGGCUUCCAAAGAUGACUUUGGAUGUGGUAUCUGUUGAUUCUGCGGCGGUCUCUGUUGAAACGGUUGAUUGAAUUGUGGAUUCGACCCGUAACUGAUAUUUGGGUGAUCUUUUUACCCUAUAUUAUACGAGUUCAAGUAGGGGUCAUGCCGUCUUUGAGGCGGUCCUAGAAAGUUCCCGACAGCAUUCACUUGUUCCGCUAAAUCCUCUUGUAAAAUCGGGUAUGAGUCUGUCGGGUGGUCUGGCUUGGCGCAAAUUCCACAUAACUGAGAUGGGCCUAUUUUAUCGGAAAGUAAAGUUUGAACAACAUUAGUCAGCUUAUCAAUCUUAUCUUCUAGAGACAAAUAACUUAACCCAUGAACCCGUCUUGUGGGUUUUGUAACCGGCUGGAAUUGUUGAGAGUUGGCAGCCAUGGUAAUAAACUCUCUCGCUCUUUGAGGUGUCAUGUUGACUAGUGCCCCUCCGCUUGCAGCAUCUAUCAUUUUCAUUUCCAUCUAGAGUAGUCCUUCAUAGAAAUAUUGCAAGAGUAACUGUUCAGUCAGUCCAUGUUGUGGGCAGCUCACACACAACUUUUUGUAUCGCUCCCAGUAAUUAUAGAGCGACUCAGUGUCUUUCUGACAGAUUCCUACUAUGUCCCUUCUUAGUUCGGUUGCUCGGGCUGCAGGGAAGAACCUAUCAAAAAUCAAACGAGACAUGUCAGACCAUGUGUUGACAGAUCCCGGAGGCAAAUAAAAUAGCCACUCUCUAGCAGAGUCGACUAAUGAAAACGGAAAUGCACGAAGUUUGAUUUGGUCUUCUGUUACUCCCUGAGGCUUCAUACUUGUGCACACCAUAUGAAACUCCUUAAGGUGGGUGUGUGAAUUUUCGUUUUGUAGUCCACGAAAAGUGGGCAGUUGGUAGAUCAAACCCGACUUUAGCUCAAACGGUGUUCCUCCUCCCAGAUAGGUUAUACAUAAGGGUUGUUGCCGUUGCGAGCUGGCGUAUUGUCUGUUCCGCCAUCUCGUCUAGUUCGUCAAAAAUUUCUUCGUUGUAAGAUAUAGUUUCAAAUCUGGGAUUUGGCCAUUUACCAUGUCGUAUGGCUUCUCUUCGUAGUUGUCGGGCCAAUUUAUCAAUUUUUGGCUCAAACUCUAAAUUUCCUGGUUCAAAUCUGGUCAUAAGGUAGAAAAAAAGUUAGAAAAUAUCUCCAAUCCCCGGCAACGGCACCAAAAUUUGAUGGGCGUCGAAACCACCAAAUAUAAUUCCUACAAAAUAACUAUAAUUAGUAGUAAGAGUGGUAGUAGGGUCGAAUCCACAAGGAUUGGAUGCGAUAAUCGACUUCCGUGUAUAGCUUAUGAUCAGAUUGCCUGUCGUAUCGAAGGUCGUGGUAAUAGUCGUGCCCACGACUCCAAUUGUACCUGCAAAAAUUAGAAAUAAAAGUAAAUCGGGGAUUUUUGAAAUGUUUAGAAACUAGAUAAUUGAAACAGCAUAAACGAUUAAUUAAAUAAAUCAAAAAUUGAAUUGGGGCUUGCAGUCAAAUGAAAUGAGCCUUAGCCUUAGACUCGGUCAAUUCCGUGUUAAGAAUCAAUCCUUGAAAAUUAAUCUUCUCCUCCGAUCGAUAAGCUGGUUAUAGCAGUUAAGAACGUCCUAACCACCAAUUCUUCCUCUAGUAGCUGGUUCCGUUACGACCUGCAAAUCAACCCUUACUGGUUAUCUAACCGAGAUACAUGUGUUCCCGAUUCAAGAUUCCGGUAGCCUUGCGUUCUGAAGAACCCAACUCGAAUUAACGGCCUCAACCGCAUGGGUCGUUUAACCCGAUCACCUCUUCCUCAAUUUGUUCUUGAAAAUCUGAAUACAGCACGGCCGACUCAAAUCUCCAACUGUAAGCAAACACAACUUCAACCCAACGUGCACUUUGACUUGAAAUCGAAUUCAACUUUAAGGGAUGAUUGGACUAUCCCGAUACUUAGGAAAAAGGUGAAUACCAAUUGGAAAGAUUUUAGGCGCGAGUACGAAUCUCACAAUUCUCGACCGGAAAGAACACCGGCCUAAAGCUAAGAUGAAAUUUAGUGGAGCAUGAAUUUAUUCAUGCUUGAACGUGGAAGAUGAUAAAUUUAUGUGAAAGGUGAUGGAAAUUGGAAAGGAAAAGUACUUAGAAGGCAAUUAGCCCACUUUGACAAAAGAAACAAAACCAAAUGAAAAAGUGGCAGAAUGUUUAACUCUAAUUUGAAAAGGGAAAAGAAGGGUAUUUAUAUUCCAAAUAGAGGUAGGAAUACCAAUUAAACGAUGAUUUUCUAAGAACUAAAAGCCCUUAUUUAUAUACAUGGGGUUUAUUAAAAAUAGCCUAAUCGUAAAUUAAUAAAAUAAAAUAAAAAUAAAUAAUAAAACAAAAUAAUAUCUUCUAUUUUUAGCAUUUUACAAAGUCAAAAUUGAUGUUAAAUCCUUGGCUUUCCCGUCUUUAUGAUUUGGCCCCAACUCAACGAUUUGUCUUUCAAUUUGGCCCCUUUUUGCUCGUUUGUGACCAAUUGCAUCCCUAACAAGAUUAAAUCAUAAAAACACCAAUUAAGCAGGGAUUCAGAAAUAAGCCAAAUUAAACAUAAGAAUCAUGUAAAUUAAUAUGUUUAUCAGUACCUGGAGGUCUAGAGUUUGAAUCCUCAUGUAAAUAGGGGAUUUAUUUUGUUGUCAGCAUCGUGUGAGUGUUUGAGUAGAAUGGGAUUCUGAGUGGUGGAAUGAGUGGGGAGUCAUGUAGAGCAUUUUUAGGAGUAAGUUAGGGGAAUGUGGUAGUUAUCGAGAUUUGAUUAUAUUUUUUUCCCAUUACCGAAAUUCUGGUUCUUUUUCUCUAAAAAGGUCUCUGUCGAUUUUCUUCUCUUGUUCUUCCUUGCUACCAUUUUCACCUUUCUUUUGCUGCCGAAAUUCUUUUUUUUCUCGCCUCUCUUCUUUCCAAAUUCUUUCCCACUCGGUUUCGUGUCGUUUCUCCUUUGGCUGCGAUCGUUUGGUAAGUGUUAGUUAAGUAAAUUUGUUCUCUGGUUAAUUGUUAUCAACUAUUCGUUGACAAGUGUUGUUGUUUAUGCCAUUUAGGAGAGGGUUUAAGGGCUCGUAAUCACUCAGUGGAGCGUUAGUUUCUGUGGGAACUGCUAUUCUUCGACUGAAGGUAAGGAUUGGUCACUUUUUGGAUAAAAACCUCAGUUUGAGUUUGAUUUUAGAUCGCUAUAUAAUAGAUUAAAUUAGUGUUAUUUGUUCAACUAUAGGUUUUGGAGUGCUCGGGGGACAUUUUAGCAUCAAACAAUACCAAGUGUGUACCCAAAACACCGAAAAUAGGGAACGAAAAAAAGCUAAAAAAGUAUUCAGUCGACGCCACAUGGGCAUGUGGUCGUCCGUAUGGUAGGCCGUGUGAUGGAACAUGGGCGUGUGGUCGACGAGCCAGGUCGUGCGCGUAUGACAUGGUCGUGUGAUGGCCAGGUGGGCCAUGUGUGACACACGAGCAAGACCAAUUUAGGCCGCAUGGGCCACACGGGAGUGUGAGGCCACACGGGUGAACCACACGGGCGUGUGGAGUUUUGGGCUAGGUUGUGUGAUCCACACGACCAAGGCCAAUUUGGGCUGUGUGGCCCCACACGGGCAGAUCACAUGAACGUGUGAGCCCAAUUUACUGAUUUACUUGCUAAGGUUGCACAGGUCGCCCAAGUCGACUGUGAAUAUACUGUGGGGUUGGUAAGCAAUGCUUGAUCCCUAAUUGACUAAUAUAUGUAUGACUGUCUACGAAGCAUGAUUAGAAUACUGUACUGAUUAUAUGCAUGACACUAUGUGAUAGCAUGCCAUGAAUGUAUGUUACAUUGCAUGGGGAUGGGAUGAUAUAUGUGGAUGAAGUGUACUGAAAGGUUUUAAGCCUAAUAUACUGGCAGCUCAGCUGCAAAUUACUGUCUAGUGCUGCUUCUGGUACUAUUUUGGAGUGUAGGGAUGGGUGGGUUGAUUAUAUCCCCACAUAGAGUGUAGGGUUGGACGGAGAUGGUGUGUAGAGGCUGGUUGGGUAGGACUUGUUUAUUGCAUAAUCUGUUACUGUACUGAUUACUGAUACUAUAAUGGGCCAAGGCCCAAAUGCAUGACUGCUUUUGUACUGAGAUGGGCUAAAGCCCUAACUGAUACUGUCACUGAUACUGAAAAGGGCUUAGGCCCAGACUGAGUUUAUUUUGUAUACUGUCUGUUUGUUUGUGCGGGGAAUUACACACUGAGUUUACGUAAACUCACCCAUUCUGCUUAAUCUAUGUAGGUAAUCCCUAGACUUGACGAAUCAGUGUAGUGAAGGACUUGGCGGUGGCCACACGAACCUAAACUUUUACUUCAACUUUAGGUAUUUAAUUUUUAAUUAUACUCUGGGGUAAUUUUUUAUGUAAAUUGCGGACUUUCUAGGACUUUUAUUUAAUUUGGGUUAUUAUUUAUUUUUAUGGAUUUAUAACUGCUAAGACGUUUAAAAACUCAGUUUUUAAAAAGGCAAAGUUUUCUCUAAACACGCGAUUUACCCAAAAUGACUUUUAAAAGCUUCCGCAACAAAAUGUUUAAAAAUGAAUGACUAGAUAAGUAACGAUUUUGGGGUCAACAAGUGUAAACAAAAGGAAAAUUAUUUUAUCGUGGCAACUUCGUUUCAAACGCUAUUAUGUGACAUCACCAGAUUUGGCCAUAAAGUCUAGGCCGGGUUUGGGGUGCUACAUGUAAUGAAAGUAGGAAAAGACUGUUAGAAUGGCAGUUAUGAAUUUCAGUAGGGCAUAUGUGUUGUAAACUAGCAAGAAAUAAUCACGAGAGUUGAUGCACCAAUGGUGCCUGAGGUAUAGGUAAACGAAAGAUAGGUUAACUGGGGAUUGCAAUUAAGGAUCCGCCAUUAAAAACCACUAGAGAGUGCUUAGAGAAACUCUAUAAGCUAGAGACUUAACAUAAAGUACGUCGAUUAAUCUACAAGAAAAAGUGGGGUUAGUUAGAAUCCAUUGAAAAAGAGGGAUGUACCGGAUGAAAAAUAAGUCUGUCAAGAUUAUUCCUCUUCAAGGGAAAACCAUUGGGAAAACACCAGUCCAACGACUAGUUUCGUAAGGAAUCAAAAUAAAAAAGAAAUUGUGAAAAUAGAUGGUCGUUCCGACAAUAACCUGUGGGGUGCUGAAAUUCAAUGCAGUCCACAAGAGACAGAUAUGUCACACUUACGAGCAUGGUAACUCGAACAAGGUGGAUUACAAAGAAGUAAUCCAACUGUUAUUUGUCCAGAGUGGGACGUAACCUGCUAGAGUGGUGGGGAUCUUACUAGUUAUCUUAAAGAAUAGGAUGACAACAAAUCCUUUGAGGCUAGGGUAAUAGAAAGAGUCCACCAAGGACUAAUCAGAUUUAGAAUAAAAAUAAAGGGGGAGAUACUAAAGGGUAAUUAAUAAGGCAAACCGUAUGGCUUCCUUAUAAGGACAUAGUGGGAAAAAAUACGAGUAAAGGAAGGACAAAGUCUGCGAAAAUGGUAAGACGUCCGAGGAAUCUGUUAAAACUAAUCGUGGGUUGAUAGGAUUUCUAGGGAUAAUUUUCUUAGUGAUAUAUUUGAAAACGGAUAGGAUUGGGAAUAACUUAGAUCCCACUACGACGAGUUUCAAAUAAUUUACUCUCACUAGUAAGUAUUUAUUCAUAUUUAGUUCUUUUUAUUUAGAACCUCUAUACAAUAGAACCUAUUUUUGUUAAAUGUAGAAACUCACUAAAUUCAUUGAAACUUACAAAGGUUUUGACCUGUUGUUGCAAGAUCUUCAAGAUGAGGAACUCGAGGAGGGACCAAGCAGAUCGCGCAAAAAUCAAGGAUUCAUUGUCAUUGUUGAGUCAUGCGCAUUGGAAGGGGUACCUUUAGAGGCUUCACCGUGGAAUCAAAUAUAUUUAUUCUAAAUAUGUAAUUCUCUUAGAGUCUAGGGUUCAGACAACAAGCUUUAUUUAAAAUUUAUUGCCUCUGUUGUAUGUUUUUAUAAAUAGGUAAUACAGUUUGAUUUUUAAAAUAAUGAGUUCUAAUGUUGUAUGUGAACUCGAUCUAGUUGUGACGUCCUAUACCCAGAUUCAACAAAUGAGUCAGGUAAGGGUGUUACAUUUCACUAUGUCAACCACUAAUUACCCUAAUUGGUCCAGGUAUAAUGCAUUGCCACCUUAUGAGAAUGACUCUAUUUUUUGAACAAAUUGUUAUCAAUUUUGUAUAGAAGCCCUGUUCAGGUUUGGAAUAAAAAUUGAUAUCUAUAAACAUGCAUGUAUUUAAUAAUAGGGAAAUGAGGAAGAUGGGGUCAAUAAUAUAGUUACAUGAAGACAAGUUUUCCUCUGUUCCAUCUUUUUUGCUAUUAGUACAUCAUGAACUACUCUAGUUAAUAGAGCCAUUGCUUCUACUCGGAGAACAUCAUGUUUUGAUUUACCUCUUUUUACUAUUGAUUGAGAUGCCAAUGGACCGUCCAAUUGGGACCUCUUUAACAGUGUAUAUUUAGACAUCAUAUAUCCAAACAUUGACGGUAAUAACCUAAAAUACGCAAGACAUGAAAUUUAAGAGAGAAGAUAUUUUAGUUGAAAAGAGAGAGAGAGAGAGAGAGAGAGAGAGAAGCCCAUAAAAGAAAGAGACUAGAACAACUUGAGAUGUUAGGAGCAAUAGAUAAUUCAAAUGAUAAUGAAUUUUUUAUUAUGUUUAUUUCGAUAAUUAGCCCUUAAACUUUGAGAAAAUUAUUGAUUUCAACAAGCACAAAUUAAUAGGGAAAAUUUAUUUCCAUGUAAUUUUUUAUUUAUUCAAUUUAUAGUGGAAAUCAAAUUAAAAUGAAACAUUGAUGGUCAAACUAGUUGUAAGGGUCGACCUAUGUAUUGGUAUCGACCCCCCUCAUUGAUGAUGGUGCGUUUAUUGGAGUCGAUGGUGUUUUUGGUUGGCAAAGGGAUACAGUUGAACCAGUUGUAAGGUACUUGAGGAAUAUGUCCCCUGUAACAGCCCAUAUUUGGUCAAAUCAGAACAGUAGUUUCGAGACCACAAAUCUGAGGUCGAAAUAUUUAUUUUAUUAUUUUAUUGUUUGCAGCAUGAAUAUAUGAUGGAGUGAAAUUUUCAUUAAGAAAUUUUAGCAUUUGAAUGCUCAAUUUGAUAAAAAUGACUAAAUCGUGUAAAGCGUAAAACUUGAGUUCUAAUAGCUAAAGGUGUCUAAUAGCUAUGGCUUAUUAAAGUAGAGGUCCUUAUGUUGUAAAUGGACUAUUAUUAAGGUGAAUGGACCAUUAUGGACAACCAUUAAGUGGUUAUAAUAGUUUUAUAAUAAGGUUAGUUUUGAAAUUUUGUAAUUAAUGAUGAAUUAAAUAAAACAAAAUACAAAAUUAUUCUUUUAUCAUCAUCCUUGGUUGAAUAAAACAUGGAGAAAAGCUAAUUUAGGGUUUGAAAAUUUCAGUUACUUUAAGGAUCAAUUAUUAAUAAAAGAGGAAUUCGGACUUAGAUCAGGGAUAAAGCAAAGUAAUUGAAUAGUCGGUCUAUUUUGUCAUUUCCUACACGAGGUAAGUUCGUAUAAUUGAACUUAAAUGUGUAUUUACUCAAUUAAUGGAUAGUAUUGAGAUUUGUAAUUAUCAUAUGGUUAAAUGUGUAGAAAUUAAUUUAAAUGUACGGUUUAAGUAGACAAGUUGUUGAAUAAGACCAUAACUGGGCUAUGAUAAAUCAGACAAUAAGACCAUAAUCGGGUCAUGGCAUGUGAAUGUAAGACCAUGGCAAGGCCAUAACAAUGUAUGUGUAACACCAUAGUUGGACUAUGACAUUAGAAAAUUGAUGUAUUUGUAUCGUAAGCAUUUAUAAGUUGGAAUGGUUUGAUAAGAGAAUUGUUGAGAAAUAGAUAAGUAUCGGUACAGUAUAUACGAAAAACUGUUCAAGUAACGAGUUAAAAGAAGUUGAGAACUUAUGAGUUACGAUGUGGUUAAACUUUAUGUUAACUUAUUGAUAAAUGCUUUAAAUGUUAAUUAUGUUAUCCAUUUUGAAAUGCUAAUGAAUGUUGAGAUUAUUUCUUAUUUACAUACGAACUUACUAAGCUUUAUAGCUUACUUUGUUUAUUUUUCUAUGUUUUAUAGUCUUUCAAAGCUAGCUCGGAUUCAGAGAUCGUCAGAGACUUCAUCGCACUAUCGAACAUCUAUUUGGUACUUUUGAGUUGUGUAAAUAUGGUAUCUGGAAUGUAUAGGCUUGUGUCAUUUUAGUAUGUUUGAUGGACAUAUAUUUUGGCCAUUUGAGUUGGCAUAAGAUGAUGAAUUUGAUGAUGUUUAUAAAUGUGCAAAUGGUUCUAUUUUGAGUUUGGUAAUUGACCUAUAUUGUGUGAUUGAAGUUGAUAAUUUGGGAAGCUAUGUGCUUGUGAAUUGGUACUUGAUAAUGUAUGUAUGGAAUGGUUUAGUUAAUUGAAUUGAAUAUGUGAAUUAGGUAUGAAAUUAGACGAAAAAUUGUAUCAUAUUUGUGAUUUGUAUUGUUGGUAAAGAAAUGGUAUGAUUUUGAACAUUGGUUGAUGGUAUUUGGCUACAUAUUAGUGUCUUGAAAUGGUACCAUUUGAGCUUAUGUAGGUAUAUGCAAAGUUGGGUAACAAAUUGGCUUAGUAAAUAACCUAUUUUUGUCCACACGGGCAAAGGCACGGCCGUGUGUCUCAUCUGUGUAUGACAUACGGUCAUGUUACACGACCGUGUGUCCCCUGGUGUUGAAUUUGAAAACAAGUCAGUAUGCUCCACAUGGCCUCACACACGGGCGUGUGACUUGAUCGUGUGGCAUAAGUCAGUAUACCUUAUAAGUUUGACACGGCCUAGUACACGGCCUGACACACGGGCGUGUAUGGCCAUUUUUAGGGCACACGGGCUAUCCACACGGACAUGUGUAUUGGCCGUGUGACCCAAGUCAGAGAGUUACACAGGGUUGGACACGGGCUGGGACAAAGCCAUGUGCUCCCAUUUCAAAUGUCCACACGGUAUAUGACAUGGGCGUGUCUGGCUCAUACAGCCUGGCCACACAGGUGUGUGUCUCCUGUUUUAAGAAAAAUUUCUAAAUUUCGUGAAAAUUUCAUAAGUUAUCAGUUUAGUCCCAAACCACUCCCAAAGCAUGUUUAAGGCCUCGUAGGCUUGUAUUAGGGAAAAAUUGAUUGAGAUUAGUUGAUGAAUGUAUGAAAUGUUAUAAUGUAUGUGAAAAGUUGUGUAAUUGUAUUGUGAUUUCGGUAAUACUCCGUAGCCCUAUUCUGACAUUGAAUACGGGUGAGGGGUGUUACAUCCCCUAUAGGGUGAAGUUGUGUAGAGUGUUGGGUACCCGAUUUAAGGGAUUGAUGAAUUUAGUGUUUAAAGUGGUUCUAGGUUUAAGGUGUAGGUCAUGUGUUGGUUUGUGUGUCUUUAUAUGGGCAAGGGCAUGCAAUUCGACAAGGUCAUUAACCUUCUAAUCUAUAGGGAUAUGGUGGAACCAAUUGUAGGGCACUCGAGGAGUAGGUAAGAUGUGGGAUUAGGUAGUGUAAAGUGGUCAUUAUCACUAAUCGAAAGGCUAGUACGCAUCUUAGGUGAAUUUAACACCUUUGUUAUCCUUUAAACCAACAGACUCACCAUUGUUGCACUCAUGUUGUUCUGCUUGAAGUUUAACAUUUUUAAUUUAUUUAUCAGUUUAAUAAAUUAUUUCAAUAUUAAUACUAACUAUAAUGGUACCUUAUCAAACUCUAUAUCAGCCCAAUCUUAUUCAAUCUCGAUUAACUCAUCAUUUGGUGUAUUAUACUCCAAAUCAUCAAUUUCAACACCAACGGAUGAGUUAUUACCAGCGUUACUUAACGUAUGACAAGUUCAAAAAUUGUGUUAAACCGUUCUACAUCUUGAACAUGUGUAGUUUCUUUUCUUUCGCUCAUCGUACUUUGUUGGAAUUUGGGUAGACAUCUUACAAAGGUCUUUUACACCUCCAUAUAUAAUGGACCCUUUCAUCCAUGGUUUUAUCAAUUCAUGAAAACUUGUCACCAACUCAACUUGAACCCUUCCAACUCGUAGAAAAUCUUGAUUGCUUUUGGAAGCAGGAUAGAAAACAUGACUGAAAAGGGAAAUCAAUGAAGCUCCAUUGCUUCAUUCCAAUUCCAAAAUUAAGGAUUGGUAAAGUUGCAUCUCUUUCCUUUUUUAUCCAAUGACUCAUUAUACAUGAAUUUGGUAUAAACUCUAAAUGCUCAAUUUUCAUAACAAAAAUUGCAUGCUUGCAAGGGAAGCCAUCUUUUCAAAAAUUCUACAGGAACACUUCUGACUCCAUCAAGUGAAUCGUAACACAAUAUUGUAACCUUUUUAGACCGCAAAUAGCGUGUCAAACUAUACAAUCUCCUAUGCCCAUAUACCUUCACAACACUUCCUUUUUGUAUUAUCAUAUCUUGCCUCAUUAUCUCUUUUCUAAUUCAGUUGAACGAUUUUCGAGUCUAAACUAUUGUAAUAUGUUGCUCAAUUGGUUGGAUAAAAGAGGUCGGUACAGAUUCACAUUACCUGAUAUCAAAAUCAGCUUCAACUUUUAAUCUACGCAUGCUUGCAAUGACUUUGUUGAUCGAAUACAAAAGUCUAAGUAAAGAACCACUUCUCUUUAUAUAUUUCUUUAGGUUUGAGUUGUAUCCUUCAUAUCUAUAUGUAGUUUUAAUGCCUCCAAAGAAUUUAGCAGUCAAGAAUGCUUGGGCCGACAUAAUCCUUGUGUUAUAUUUCUUGACAAUCAAGGGAUUUUUAUGUAGAUUAUGUGUCUCAACCAUGUUCUCCCACUCUCGGUAAAAUUAUUCUUUUGACCACCAUGCAUGUAUGCUAUUUUAAAUGCUUAUAGAGUUGCAACUUUGUGUAUAUGUGACAUAGCAUUCAUCUGUAUGUGUCACACUAAAAAAUUAUGAUUAACCUCAAGUAAUACAGAAUGCAUUUCCCUAUCACCAUCCAUAAUCACUGAUAUGUGUGUCUUCAUGUUCAUGAAACUAAAGGAACUCAUUUAACACCCAGACAAAACUUUCAUGUUUCUCAGUGGAAAAAAUUGCAAAACUGAGUGUAAUGGUUUGAUGAUGAUUGUUUACUCCUACGAAUAUCAACAACGAAAGAUUAUAACCAUUAUUCUUAUAUGUCGUAUCUAAUGCAACAUCUCCUGAGUAAGCAUAAUUUAUCCUGUUGCAUGAGUCAGCCCAAAGAAGUUUUUCAAGGCAGUAGUUGUCUUUGUCAGUUGCAUAUUUCAUGUUCAAACCCGAAUAAUUAAUUCUUUUAGCCUCAAAAUCUGAAAAUAUUCAAUAACAACAUUUGCAUCCCCUAUUUCAACUGUUUUCAUUGCCUCUGCUUGCAAUAUGUUCAAAAAAUCUUUCUUUCUAAAGCUCAAUUUCUCAAAGCCACCAACUUGGUCAGCAAAUCACAACAUCAUUUGAGGAGGUCGGAUUCUCGGUUUUCUCAUUUCCAAUGCUUCAAUCUUUGCAACAGUUGGAUUUUCACGGUUUGAUCUUAUUAGAUUCCUUAUUUCAUAGUGAACAACCAAUUCGUGAUUGUGUUCUUUAAUGAAAUUGGUAACUACCCAUCCCUGCCCACCCUUUCUCAUAGCCACUCUUAUUCUCACAUUUCAUCCUGUUCUAGUCAUAUCUCGAGGAUUUCAAACUGCUUUCUUAUUAUUCAUCCAUUUAUAUGCAUGCUUUCCUUCUUUAUUACAGUAGCAAUACUUGACAGCAACAUUCCCAGAUGCAUCUACCUUGGUACCUCCAAGCCUAACACCGAACCUAUCACAUGAGCAUAGUUAAAAUAAAAUCCUUGAGCUUCGAUUAAUGAACUGAAUUCCAUCCCUUUUACAUGCUCUUUUCUUAAAUCAAUCGCGCCAUUUUCACAAAAAUAUUAUUUAAAACGUCUACACAAAGUUGAAUUCCCCAUUGUAGUUCUCUUUCCACACCAUUUAUGAUGCCUCAUCACCACACGACUUGUCAUUUAAAUUGAAGUAGAAUUGUUCACAAUUCUCUUCUGUUCCUUCUAUCAUCUCUAUAAGCAAAUGAGGAAUAUAACUACGAAAAUAUCAUUGAUAUGUAAUUCUAAACCUUUACUUGCAAACAUUAGUUAUACACUCAAGUACUUGAGUAACAAAAAUCAUAAAUACUACUAACAGAGCAUAACCAAAAUAGGUGUUUGACCUCUAUUUGUUUAUAAAUAUGAUGGAUUUCACUAUAACUCCUAUAAAUUCAAAAUUUUUACAAACAACUUUCAAGAUAUUUCCAAAUAUCCUCCUUUAAAUUAUAUAUAUAUAUGGGUUCAAUUCUACAUUCAAUUAAAUAAAAAAAAAACAUAAAUAUGACUAACAAAGCAAAACCAAAAAUGGUGCCCGACCUCUAUUCGUUGUGAAGAUGGUGGAUUUUAUUGUAAUUCCUGUCAAAUCCAAAAUUUUUCAAAGAACUUAAAAUUUUUUUCCGAAUAUCCUCAUUUGAAUUAUAUAUUUCUUCCUUUUGUCGUUUUACCAUGAUAGUGAUGCCUACAAUGCUUUUUUGGGGUUAAUCUCCAACAUUUGCAUGGAAAUAGAAAUGCAUCCCAUGUAAUUCUUGCUUUAGUUUUCUCUCACCUUUUUUUAAUUUUGUAACUGGUUUAAUGAAACGGUAUACGCACAUUUCCCAAAUGAUUCCAACUUGGAUUUAUCCCAUGGCUGCAACAGCCUCAUUAUCUCCCUUUCGUUCCUGAUUGUAGAUUGCAAUGAAUCCCACUAAAUCCCUUUGGAAUAAUAUCCCACCGUAGUCAUCACCUAUGACCUUUAUAAUAAAAAAAUUUUCUUAAGUGUUUCAUACAUUUUAUAACACUUAUGAUAGGGUGCUCAUGAUGUGUGUCCAUGCAGGAAUAAUAUUGAAUUUAUAAAGGUUAACUAUGCUAAAGGUGGUUGUGUUUUUUUGAAAUUUAAAAUUUAGUCUCUAUAGUUUAAUUUUGAGGCAAUAAGUCCUUAUACUUUUUUAUUUAAAAAAUCUUGGUUCCUCUGUUUAAUUUUGCUAUUAAAGUUAAUGAUGCCAAAGGUAAAAUAACUUUUUUAGCUCUCAACACUUAAUAAUUUUUUUUAUCAAUUUGGUCAUUACCCCUUGAAAGUAGAUAAAAAAAUUUAAAAAAAAAUUAAAAAUAAAAAAUUGAAAAAAUAAACUCUUUAAAAUUAAAAAUAAUAAUUAGUAUUUUAAAAUAUAAAAAAAAUCUAAAAUUCAAUGUUAUCUAAAUUGGACCGAAUCAGGCAAUCGAAUCAGUUAGAUGAGGAAUCGAUUGGGGUAUCAAUCUAGUGAGAGGUAAAAAAUCAGUUGACCCACAAAUCGGUACAGACUGAUUGAACUGAGCUAAAAAAAUCGUUGAAUCGACAAUUGUAUCAAUUUCGAACUAGACUGAUCAAUUGAUUCCCAUAAUGAUCGAUCCGACAAGUUCAAAGUAAAUAAAUUAUGAAAAAAUAGAAAAUAAAAAAUAUUAUAAAAAAUUGAUUCAACUUAUUUUUUAUCCCGAUUUAACCAAUCUGUACUGGUUCACAGGUCAACUAGUUUUUUACCUCUCAUUGGAUUGAUACCUUAACCAAAUCCUGAUCCAAUUGAUUUGGUUUGAUUUAGAUAACAUUGAAUUUUAGAAUUGUUUAUAUUUUUAUAAUAUAUUUUUAGAAAAAAAUCUUUUUUCUUUUGUUGAAUUUUAAAGAGUUUUUAUUUUGUUUAUAUUUUUUAUUUUUAAAAAAUCAGAAUUUUUAAUUUUUUAUGUUUUUUUCAAAUAUAAAAAUGAUUUUUUUUUUUAAAAUUACAUACUUUUAAAGGGUAUGGAAAAUUUUACAAAAAAAAAUAUAAAUGUUGAAAGCUAAAAGAAUUUAACAUAUUUAAAAGUUUAUUAACCCAUGAUUGAUAUGGACGGGUAGAAUCAACUAAAAAAUCAAUUGAACCAGCAAUUGAACCGAUUUUUAUAAAUUUUUAAUAUUUUUAUUUUUAAUAAUUUAUUUGCUUUGAAUUGGUCAAAUCAGUUGUUCUUGGAACCAAUUGAUCUAACUAAUUUGAAAGUGGUUCAAUUACCAGUUCAAUCGAUUUUUUAAGCUCAGCUCAACUAUUUUUUAUUGGUUUCUGAGUCAAUUGAUAUUUUAUCCGAUUUGAUUUAGAUAACAUUGAAUUUUUAAAAUUUUUUUAUUUUAUUUUAUGAAUUUUAAAGGUUUUAUUUUUUGUCAUAAUUUUUUAAAUAUAAUUUUUUUACAUUUUUAUGUUUUUAUUUAAAUUAUGAAAAAUUUUAAUUUUUAAAAGGUAACGACCAAAUUGACAAAAAAAUUGUAAAUGUUGAGGGCUAAAAAAUUAUUUUACUUUUGAUAUCAUUAAUUUUAACUGCAAAAUUAGGCAAGGGAAAAGGAUUUUUAAAUAAAAAAAAUAGUACAAGAUUCAAUGUCUCAAAAUUAAAGUAUAAAGACUAAAUUUUAAAUGAGGACAAAAAUUUUUAGAGUAUCGAACACCUAAUUUGUUAUUAGGUAAAAAAUUGUGAGAAAUAUUUAGACUAUGUCCAAUAGAAAAACACUUUUAUCUAAUAAUAAAUAUAUAAUUAUACUUUAAAAUUAAAAUUUGAUUAUUUUAUAAAAAUAAGUUUUAUAAACUUGUAUAAUAAUUUUUUAAACUUAUUAUGAUAAUUACCCAAACAUAUAAUUACGAUAAUUAUCCAAACUUAAUAUAUAACAUCUACUAAUUACUAUAAUUACUCAAAUAUAUUAUUACACCCAAAAUCAAUUGUAAGUGAGUUUCCAAACAUAAGUAAUUAAAGCAGUGCUGUUGGGAUGGAAUCAGACCCACAAUUCAGAUACUAUUGUAUAGUCAGAUUUACAUAAAAUCACUUCAAAUGUGUAAAGAGAAAUAAAAACCAUGAAUCCAAGGAAAUCAAAGAUAAAGAAAAUAAGUCACUUAAACCAGUUGUUUAUAUGUUUUGGGCUUUUUCUUUUUCUUAUUUAAACUUUGACCCAUAACAUAGCCCAGCCCACUCCACAAUUAAUUCCAAAGUUUUAGGCUAUUCUAUUUAUUUUAAUUAAUUUUGCCAAAUUAUUUUUUGGACAAAUUUUAAAAUUAUAUAUUAACUUUGAUUUGAUGCAAUUAUAUACAUUAAAACUUUGAUUGUUGUUCAAGUGCAUACAUGAAAUUUUAAUUUUAAUUCAAUUAUAUACAUUUAAAGAAAUAAAUAUAUCAAUUUAUUUAUAUAUUAAAUAAAUAUAAUUAUUUGCAUAUGUAAUAUAUAAAUAUAAAAUAACGCAAUAUAUCAUGUAAAAAAUUGCUCAAAAUCAAAAUUUAUAUAUACAUUUACACAUUAGACUAAAGUUUAUAUAUAAAUUUAAAAUUUUUCUAUUUUUUUAAUUUUAAUUUUGCAUAGUUGCAGGUAGCUAUAUAUAUAUAUAUUUUUUAAAUUUGUUGUUAUAGAAGUAUAUUUAUAUUACUAUUAUUUAUUUAUGGUUAUUUUUUUUGGUUACUUUCUAUUUGUAAAUUUGAUUUAUUCAAUCAAUUAAACCGUGAUUUGAUUAUUACAAAAUUAAAUUUAGUAUUAAGAUCAAAUUUACAAUAGAAUAUUUGUAAUAAAAAAAUUAUUGACGGAUUCAAUAUUUUAUGCUUAAUCUUUUAAUAUAAGAGUAAUAUUUUUUUUUAUUUAUGAGUUUAACAGCGAUUAUGAGUAGUUUUAGACAUGAUGUAAAAAAGAGUAGAUAUCAUCAGAAUCUAUAAUGAAAUUAUUAUAAAAAAAAAAUCAUUAAUUUUGGAUUGACCACGUGAGGGGAUUCUAUAUUUCUAAGAAAGCUAUUUUGGCAUGGGAGCGAAUUUUCUAGUUUUAUAUCCAAAAUUAUCUGUAUCAUGUUAAAAUUUUCCCAGUUUAGAUGAAAAGCAAUGAUUUGUCAUGUUGAAUAUGUGAAGGCUUGUAGUUUCAAUGUCUAAACAUUAAAUGUGAAGAGAGAAAGGAGUGGGGUGGUCCAAAUAUGGCAGUUAGUUGAAUUUUAGAAGCUUGAAAAGUGGUUUUCACGUAUGCAUCCACUUUAAUGGUUUUUGUGACAAUUAAGUUCCCUAUCCUCCCCAACUACCAGGUUGCUUCCAUUUCAUUGUCGUGCUUUCCAAUUUGUUGUCUUAAUUUAACAUCAACCCCAAUCUUAUACUUCUUUAUACUCCUUUUGCCCACCUAAGCUUUCAUCAUUUUAUACUUCUUUCUUACUUGCAAUAUUUUAUAAGGAUGUCCCUCAAUUUCUGUCCAAAUUAGGCAUCCUCCAUUUCUAAUUUUCAAAUAUUUCAUCCAUGGCUCAUUGAAAUGAAUUUUCGCAAUUAUUAUAAAAAUUGUGAAUGUUUGAUUUAUUGAUAAAAUGUUACAUUUUACUUUUUCAAUCUUAAAUAGCUUCAAAUAAAUUAUCUUGGUUGUAGAGAUAAUAAUUCAAUCUUAAAUAAUUGUGAAGUGCCAAGUCACUUUCAUUGAGAUCUAGAAAGGAAAUGUUGAGAGAUAUGAUUGGAUUUUGUUUUUCUUUUUCAAAUGGUUUAAUGUAAUAAUAACCUCUCACACUAUAAUAUUUUCUAGUUAAAUAUUUACAAAUUUUUAUCAGAUUAAACACAAGAUUUAAUAAACAUUACAUGAAUAGACUAGAAUAAAUAUUUCACUUAACAAGAGUUUAUUGGCACUUACAAAAAGAAUAUCACGAAGAGAUCAUGGUAAUCAGAAAAUUCAUUAAACACAAUUUUAAUUAAGGAAUAGGUUUCUCUUAAAGUCCUAUUAUGUCUCUAAGUUAUUUCGCAUAUGUCUAUGUCAAAACUAACCUAAAAAAACACCAUUUUAGGCAUUUUAUACCGUUUAUGCAUACAACAAUCAUCUUUCGAUACCGACAUGAUAUGCAUCAUUUAGAUCUUUUGUUCAUUAACCAUUACCUCUUCUCAGAUUAAACAAUUAAUUCUUCAACAAAUAUUGGCCUUACAUUUACAAGUUUUAACAUGAAUUAAACCAAAAUGAAUGAAACAACCAUUUGCACAAAAUAUUCACAAUACAAAAACUAAUCAACUCAAGUCAUGAUUCAUACUUAUUCUGAAUAAACAAAAUUAAGUCAUGCAUUAUUAAAUUGAAAACAUAAAGAUGAGAUGUGAACAUGCCUUUCAACUAGAGCUGAUCAUGGGUUGGGCGGCCCUGCCCGGCCCUAAGGCCCGCCCAAAAAAUGGGAGGGUUUGGGUAAAAAUAUAGGCCCGAAAAAUGGGCUUGGGUAAAAAACGAGGCCCGUUUAGAAAACGGGCCGGGCCUCGGGUAAGAGUUUUUUGGC